rnacentral:lncRNA from 1 species
UUUUUUUUUGUGUCUUAGUAUGCCACAAACAUCCUUGCUGUACACACCUUUUGAGAGAGCCAUACAUGAAUUAAAAUUUGAUAGAAUACUCUAUGUGCUUCACUUAUAUCUUUUGAGCUAAGUAGUUUUGCUCUAUGUGCUUCACUUAUAUCUUUGGAGCUAAGUAGUUUUGCUCUGUGUGCUUCACUUAGAUCUUUUAGAGCACGGUGGUGGAUUUGUUUUAAAGAAACUAUUGAUCUCUCAUGCUUCACUUAAAUUAUUUUGAGAGUCUCUUAAUAGCAUGGUAAUUUGCUUAAUAAUAAUAUGCAUGGUAUUCAAGAUUUGUGAAACUUUCUUUUGAGUGUGUUGAAUACUAAGAAAAGAUUGAAACAUGAUAAUUGUUUUGAGAUAUGGAGGUGAUAAUAUUAAAGUAAUGCUAGUUGAGUAGUUGUGAAUUUAAAGAAUACUUGUGUUAAAGUUUGUGAUUCCCGUAGCAUGCACAUAUGGUGAACCGUUAUGUUAUGAAGUGGGAGCAUGAUUUAUUUAUUGAUUGUCCUCCUUAUGAGUGGCGGUCGGGGACGAGCAAUGGUCUUUUCCUACCAAUCUAUCCCCCUAGGAGCAUGCGCGUAAUACUUUGCUUUGAUAACUUCUAGAUUUUUGCAAUAAGUAUAUGAGUUCUUCAUGACUAAUGUUGAGUCCAUGGAUUAUACGCACUCUCACCCUUCCACCUUUGCUAGCCUCUCUAAUACCGCACACCUUUCGCCGGUAUCAUACACCUACCAUAUACCUUCCUCAAAACAGCCACCAUAACUACCUAUUAUGGCAUUUCCAUAGCCAUUCUGAGAUAUAUUGCCAUGCAACUUUCCACCAUCUAGUUCAUCAUGACACAUUCGUCAUUGUCAUAUUUCUUAGCAUGAUCAUGUAGUUGACAUAGUAUUUGUGGCAAAGCCACCAUUCAUAAUUUGUUCAUACUUGUCACUCUUGAUUCAUUGCAUAUCCCGGUACACCGCCGGAGGCAUCCAUAUAGAGUCAUACUUUGUUUUAGAAUCGAGUUGUAAUCAUUGAGUUGUAAAUAAAUAAAAGUGUGAUGAUCAUCAUUCAAUAGAGCAUUGUCCCAAAAAAAAGAGAAAGGCCAAAGAAAAAAAUAAGGCCCAAAAAAAAGAAAAUAAAUAAAAAGGGGCAAUGCUACUAUCUUUUUUUCCGCACUUGUUCUUCAAAGUAGCACCAUGAUAUAGCAAGUCUCAUAUAUUGUGCUUCAAAGUAGCACCAUGUUCUUCAUAUAGAGAGUCUCAUAUGUUGUCACUUUCAUAUAGUAGUGGGAAUUUUACAUUAUAGAACUUGGCUUGUAUAUUCCAAUGAUGGGCUUCCUCAAAUUGCCCUAGAUCUUUGUGAGAAAGCAAGUUGGAUGCACACCCACUAGUUUCUUUUGUUGAGCUUUCAUACAUUUAUAGCUCUAGUGCAUCCGUUGCAUGGCAAUCCCUACUCACUCACAUUGAUAUCUAUUGAUGGGCAUCUCCAUAGCCCGUUGAUACGCCUAGUUGAUGUGAGACUAUCUUCCCCUCCUUUUUGUCUUCUCCACAACUACCAUUCUAUUCCACCUAUAGUUCUAUAUCCAUGGCUCACUCUCAUGUAUUCACUACUAGGGAAAAGGCUAGCAGCAGCGCGGGUUUUAGGUGUAUCAGCAGCGCGGGGACCGGCGCUACUAAUAAGGCGCUACAGCUAAUAGUUAGCAGUAGCGUGGGAGAAACCCGCGCUACUACUAACUUUGUUAGUAGUAGCGUGUGCCACCCACGCUACUGCUAUUAUAGACUCGCGCUACUACUAAUGAAGUAGUAGUAGCGUGCCUACAAUACCAGCGCUACUAGUAUCCUAAAUACUAGUAGCGCACAGUUUUUUCCCACGCUACUACUAACUUAUUAGGAAUUAAAAAAAUAAAAUCAACCAAUUACAUUCCAUCACACAAUUCCUCUUUGUAGCGGCAACUCAUGUAUAAUUCAAAUCACACAGUGUUAUGCGUAGCAACUUGGUAAGCAACUACCUAAGUAAGCUCUACUGCUAUUAACUUGGUAAGCAACUACCUAAGUAAGCUCUACUGCUAUUACACAUCGGGCAGCCUCAAUGAGCCGCACCUGACCGAUGGCAGCCGCCGUCGUGACUUGCGACACCAUCAUGUCCCUCUCCCUGGCCCUCGGCUCCAGCUGGCCUCAAUCGAUGUCGUCCUCGUGCCUGCCUUGCCACUAGCGGGCUGCUUCUCCUCUGCUCGCCUAGGUACCCUACUUCUCCUCAGCGCUCCCGGGCCCAGGUUCCCUACUUCUCCUCGCGUCUCCAGCAGCAGCGAUCCGGAGGCGGAUCCAGCAGCACGCCUAGGUCACAGAUCCCAGGUCCUCAGCGCUCCAGCAGCAGCGAUCUAGGGCCUUCUUCUCCUACUCGUUCUUCUCCUGAGCAUGCUCCUACUUCUCCUACAACAAAAGCAACAUCAGGUCAAUGACAACAGCAGCAGGUCAAUAACAACAGCAGCAACUCCUGGGAAUGCUUCAAUUUAAGUCCAUUUCUUUGAUCAACAACUUAUGCUAAGGACGACGUGCUAUCGAACUUUGGAAAGUACAAUAUGAAUAUGACAACAGCAGCAGCAGUUUUACAACAAAAACUAAACUACUAAAAUUACAGCAAAUGCAAGUUAACUAAACAUUUUGAUCUAUUGCAAGUUCAUUGAUCUCCAUUACCUACUGGAGUACUCCAUUUUAAGCUACUGAAGCUACUCUAACUAUCCUAUUUUACUCUAACGGAAACUAAACUAAGCAAGCACUACUGCUUGCAAGUCCUACACUAAACUAAACAAUCAUGAUUUCUAGCAACAGCAAUCAUCAUCUUCAAGUCCUAACUUAACAGCAGCAAAGAGAAGAAGAGAAGAAGAGAAAAGAGGAGAAGAGAAGAAAAGAGAUGAGAAGUUUCUGUUAAGGAAAAAUAAUUACUCCUCUCUUCAAAUGAAUCAAAUGGGUAGCUCUAUACUGCAUGUUCAAUUAAAGUAACUGAAAAUGUUUCUGUUAACUUAAAUUAACAGAAAAAGGUUUUAUUUGAAGUAACUAAAAAAGGUUUCAGUUAAAUUGACUGAAAAAGGUUUCAGUUAACUGAAGAGAGGUUCCAUUUAAUCCAUUUACAGUACUCCUAAUGCUUGUGCUGCAGUAAAACUACUCCUAAUGCUACCAUAGUUAACAACAACUGAAAUUACUGUAAUGUUCAAAUAUUACAGUACAUACUCCACUGAAUAUUACUGAAACUUAAUAGAGGUCGGAAAAUAUGCUUCGUUUCAGAUAAAUUUUGACAAAUCCAGUGUGACAACUUCAUUUCAGUCAAAUUUUGUCAAAUCCAUUGUUACAGGCUAGCAGCAGUAGCUUAGUUACAGAAUUGGGAGUAGAAGUUGUUACAGGCUAGUAGUAGUAGCUACAAAUUUACAACUUCAUUUCAGAAAAAUUUAUAACUUCAUUUCAGAAUUAGGAGUACAACUUGAUUUCACUAAAUCCAGUGUUACAGGUUAGCAGUAGUAGCAAGGGAACUGUAAGAUUAACAAAGCUACAGAAAAUCAACAAGCUAUUUCAAAGGAUGAUUCAUGACUAACAAAGGUUGGCCUUGGCGAAGCUGCACAUUCAUGACUAAGCUACAAAAGUUGGAGUAACAGAAGCUACAGAAGCUUCACAGGAAGAUUAACAAAGACAUGCAAGAUUAACAAAUCAACUACGGUGUUGGAUGGAUGGAUGGACGACAAGGAAAUUACCAUGAGGAUGACGACGCCGUGGCGCCGUGGCGGGGCAGGGCCCGCGCUACCAAGGUGGGGGCACCAUUAGGACGACGAUGCCGCUCCGCUGGUCCGACGCGCUGCUACUCCGGCGUCGCUCUAGAUCCGCCACUUGGGCCACACUCUAGGUCCGCUAGUCCACAUCCAACGCCUCCAUCGCUCACAUACAGCACGGGCGCAAGCCUCCGUCGCAUAGAAGCUCAUCACCGGCGCAAAAAAACUCAAUCUUUUCACCUAAGUACGUUGGUGGACACCUUCAGACAGAUGUGGGAAUUAAUCCCUGCAGCAUUAAUCAAGGAUACAACAAAAAAAUGUCAAGGGGACACCUUCAGACCGAACUUAUUCUUUGCAUAAAUGAGAAAUCUGAAGCCCUUCUUGUACUUUUGCCGCUGCUACUACUACAACCUAAGCACUAACAACCAAUGAGCAAGAAAUAUAAUGCAGGAAGAAAAGAAUACAUCCAUCUGAAGCCCUUCACAUGAACCAGAUCCUCUUACACGUGCAGAAUAUCAACAUUGGCCAACUAAAAUCAGUCACAAACAUGGAUUUCACAUGCAGGUCAGCAGUAAACCACGCAUCUACGCAGGUCAACUAGGAUAAGCAGGUGAACAAAAUCUUCAUCUAACGAGGAAACUCCGAUGAAAGAUACCAUCUCUUGCUCUGUAUCUUCUGUAGACAUUCUUACACUGAAUUUAUGAACACAUUCUUCUACUAUCCACUACUUACUAGUCACAGGGAUUGAAUGCUAAAAUCAAGGUACUACAACAAUCUAGUCUAGAUAAACAACACAGGGCGCAGGGGGAAGUCCUCUUCGUAACAAAAUCUCGCGGAAACCGCCUCAUUAGUUGGAAUUAGGAUGCCAUGGCAAGACGAACUGAAAAAAGGAAAAAAGGCGGCCACACUGACCCUGAUGAACUCGGCGGGGACGCCGCAGACGCGCUCGACGAGCAGGCCGGUGCCCUCGAGCUCGCGCACCAGGCGCGCCACGCUGUCCUUCCCCACUUGCACACGGCCUACCAAAUCGAAUCCAAGGGGGUCAGGGGCUACCUGCAGUGAAGAGAAAGAGAGGAUAAUGGGGAACCUCACCUCCAUGGCGUCGGUCCGCACUAGCAGCAGCAGGAGGAGGGUCGGAGGAGCAAGUAGUAGGACCACCGGCGGGCCGUCUGCAUCGGCGGCGGGCAAGAGGGAGCCCUCCCCACGCCGCACCGCACCCGGAGAAGGGGGCCCCUAGCUAGGGUUUGGGGAUGGCACAAGGGCACGGCGAGGAGGAGGAUCCGCACGUGAGGUGGGGGGCGCCGGUGGUGGGGUUGGGGAGAGGAGGUCGUUGGCGUCGGUGGUGGCGGCGGGGUUGGUUGGGGGAAACGUGGGGAGUGGAGGACGAGGAGAGGCGUCGUGGGAGAGAAAGGCAUAGCAGGGGUGAGAGGCUGAGGUGGGCGGCAAGGAGAUAACUUAACAGUAGCGUUGGGUUUAUACCCCACGCUAAUCCAACGCUACUACUAUGGUAUGUCUUGGGUGCACAGUUGAGACCAUUUAGUAAUAGCGUGGGAUUUAUAACCCGCGCUGCUACUAUCAACUUAGUUGUAGCGUGGGUUUAUAACCCGCUUUACUACUAUGGCUGGUCCGGAGGGGCACGGUGAAAAUCACUUAGUAGUAGCGAGGGUUAUAAAACCGCGCUACUACUAUCAACUUAUCAGUAGUGCGGUUCCUUUAAGCUCGCUACUGCUAGUUAGCAGUAGCGCCUGUUUUUAAACCGCGCUGCUGCUAAGAUUCUGUGUAUAACGUUUUCCCUAGUAGUGAUUGCGUGAAGACUGAAAAAGUUUUGAAAAAGUUAGAGUAUGAAACAAUUGCUUGGCUUGUCAUCGGGGUUGUGCAUGAUUUAAAUACUUUGUGUGGUGAACAUGGAGCAUAGCCAGACUAUAUGAUUUUGUAGGGAUAACUUUCUUUGGCCAUGUUAUUUUGAGAAGACACAAUUGCUUUGUUAGUAUGCUAGAAGUAUUAUUAUUUUAUGUCAAUAUAAACUUUUGUCUUGAAUCUUUCUAAUCUUAAUAUUCAUACCACAAUUAAGAAGAUUUGCAUUGAAAUUAUGCCAAAUAGCACUCCGCAUCAAAAAUUCUCUUUUUAUCAUUUACCUACUCGAGGACGAGCAGGAAUUAAGCUUGGGGAUGCCUGAUACGUCUCCAACGUAUCUAUAAUUUUUUAUUGCUCCAUGCUAUAUUAUCUACUGUUUUGGACUAUAUUGGGCUUUAUUUUCCACUUUUAUAUUAUUUUCGGGACUAACCUAUUAACCGGAGGCCUAGCCCAGAAUUGUUGUUUUUUGCCUAUUUCAGUGUUUCAGAGAAACAGAAUAUCAAACGGAGUCCAAACGGAAUAAAAUCUUCGGGAACGUGAUUUUCUCACCGAACGUGAUCCAGGAGACUUGGACCCUACUCCAAGGAGUCAAAGAGGAGGUCACGAGGGUGCCCCCCCCCUAGGGCACACCCCCCUGCCUCGUGGGCCCCUCGGUGCUCCACCGACGUACUUCUUCCUCCUAUAUAUACCUACGUACCCCCAAAUGAUCAGAACAGGAGCCAAAAACCUAAUUUCGCCGCCGCAACUUUCUGUAUCCACGAGAUCCCAUCUUGGGGCCUAUUCCAGACCUCCGCCGGAAGAGGGCUGUCAUCACGGAGGGCUUUUACAUCAUCCUAGCCCCUCCGAUGAAGUGUGAGUAGUUUACCUCAGACCUUCGGGUCCAUAUUAGUAACUAGAUGGAUUCUUCUCUCUUUUUGGAUCUCAAUACAAAGUUCUCCCCCUCUCUUGUGGAGAUCUAUUCGAUGUAAUCUUCUUUUUGCGGUGUGUUUGUUGAGACCGAUGAAUUGUGGGUUUAUGAUCAAGUCUAUCUAUGAAUAAUAUUUGAAUCUUCUUUGAAUUCUUUUAUGUAUGAUUGGUUAUCUUUGCAAGUCUCUUCGAAUUAUCUGUUUGGUUUGGCCAACUAGAUUGGUAGUUCUUGCCAUGGGAGAAGUGCUUAGCUUUGGGUUCGAUCUUGCGGUGUCCUUACCCAGUGACAGAAGGGGCAGCAAGGCACGUAUUGUAUCGUUGCCAUUGAGGAUAACAAGAUGGGGUUUAUUUCAUAUUGCAUGAAUUUAUCUCUCUACAUCAUGUCAUCUUGCUUAAGGCGUUACUCUGUUUUUAACUUAAUACUCUAGAUGCAUGUUGGAUAGCGGUCGAUGAGUGGAGUAAUAGUAGUAGAUGCAGAAUCGUUUCGAUCUACUUGUCACGGACGUGAUGCCUAUAUACAUGAUCAUGCCUAGAUAUUCUCAUAACUAUGCUCAAUUCUGUCAAUUGCUCAACAGUAAUUUGUUCACCCACCAUAGAAUACUUAUGCUCUUGAGAGAAGCCACUAGUGAAACCUAUGGCCCCCGGGUCUAUUCUCAUCAUAUCAAUCUCCAUUACUUUAAUCUUGCUUUGCUUUUUUACUUUGCUUUUACUUUUUACUUUGCAUCUUUAUACCAAAAAUACGAAAAAUAUUAUAUCUAUCAGAUCUCACUCUCAUAAGUGACCGUGAAGGGAUUGACAACCCCUAAUCGCGUUGGUUGCGAGUAGCUAUCGUUUUGUGCAGGUACGGGGGACUUGAGCGUGGCCUCCUACUAGAUUGAUACCUUGGUUCUCAAAAACUGAGGGAAAUACUUACGCUACUCUGCUGCAUCAUCCCUUCCUCUUCGGGGAAAACCAACGCAAGCUCAAGACGUAGCAGUCCGCUAUAGCCCGGAUCACCGGAGUCCUGCUAGCCCAGCACUACUGCUCAGGACACUUGACUGGCCGGCAUGUGUUUCACUUUGUCCUAUGUCUGUCCCUUCGGGGAAAUGUCACGUGGUACAUCCGGAGUCCUUCCUAGCCUGCUACAGCCCGGGUUCCCCAGAGUCCUGUUAGCCCAGUGCUACAGCCCGGAUUCACACGCUGUUGACCGACAUGCUCGAUGUGAUUCAUGUAUGCCUCUCCCCAUAGGACUGUGCCGCUUUGGGUUCACGAGUAGCCAUGUCGGCCCAGGUUCUCUGUCAUAUGGAUGCUAGCGACACUAUCAUAUACGUGAGCCAAAAGGCGCAAACGGUCCCAGGCCAUGGUAAGGCGGCACUCGUGGGGAUACCGUGCGUGAGGCCGCAAAGUGAUAUGAGGUGUUACCAGCUAGAUCGAUGUGACUUGGAAUCGGGGUCCUGACAGCGUUGGCAUCAGAGCCGUACUGCCUGUAGGUUCAUUGAGCCAAACUGGUCGAUGUCGAGUCUAGAAAUGCUUUAGUUAUAUGUAGGGGAAUUGAUUGUGGAAGGGAAUGUAAGGCUCUUUUACUCCUUUACCUUAUGCCCUCUGAUCUGAGUCAUUCUCUUCUCAUUCUACGUGGGUUAAGGACUAGGCUCUCUUCUCUCUAUCAGGUUCACGUGUUACUAAUCCGUAGUAGCUUAUAGGAUUGUUGUUACAAGCCUCAGUACAGUUUCUACUACUUUUAGUAUGUUGUCAGUUGAACCAGAACCUUGAUAUGAUGUUGUUGAGUGGUUUUGCAAACUGUUGUGAAUGCCUCAAAUCUUUUCUGAGCAAUUACAGCCGUUAUGCUGUCCGAUUUCUCCUACAAGAUUCUAAUGCCUUUGCAUUAUUCUGUGCUUUCAGAUGGCCAACCGUUCCCAGAACCAAGUGGUUCGUCUGACCCGGUGCCUCGAUGUACCCGGUCACACGGCCAUGUUGGUUCGAGUCAUGGUCGAGACAGGCUAUCGAUGGUAUCUAGAAUAUGACCGUCGAGGAGCAUUUCCGAGACUUCAACCAGAGCCAGUACCUUUGUACCGUCAGGAUAUAUCCCUCUUAUCCUGGAGCCACUGAACCCCUCCACUGCUCUUAUGGGCUUGGGGUUACUAUUGAGAUGUCUGUGCAGGAUGCAGCUUACUCAAUGAUGACUAUCAUUCGAGCCAGGACUGCCUUGCUUCAGAACACCGAUUUCCGCUACAUGCUAGCCUCACUCCCUGGAGCACAGGGGUACUAUCAGGCUUUGUACUAUGACUCUGCACAUGAGGAGUCACUACUCCGCACCAUUGCCGAGAUGCUCGAGGAUAAGGACCAUGAAAAUCGGGCCUUGCGUAUGGAGCUUUUCAACUCUCGUGCUGAUCACUGGGCCACUUUGACUCGGUUUGCACCUGCUCUACAGGCAGGAUACAUGGACCUGAGGGACCUGUACCCUGUGCGGUCUGGAUUGCCAGAUUGUAUGGAGUGGUGUGAUGUAGGAGGCAUCACCCCUCCUCGUGGUCCCCGUCUACCACCGGUUGUGGGACCAAGGCCACAUCCGAGUCCCUAUGGUCCGCAGGACCGUCUGUUCCCAGAUGAUCAUGUUCCGCUUCCAAGCUUUGGUGGUGACUUUUAUGAGGAUUACUACGGAGCCGUCUGAGCUAGUAGUAGUUUCACUAGUACUGUAAUAGUUGUAUUCUCCAUAGUCCUGCGUGACCGUGGGAUAUGACUUGGUGUGUAUCACGCUCCGGAGGUGUAGAAAAAUAAUGUAUAGGAGCUUGGAAUGCCUCCGAUGAGAUGUAGUGUCUUUCACCGUAGUUGUACUCUAGCCUGGGCUUGUACUAAACUAUGUACGGUGUGUAUGACCAAUGGUAUAUAUGUGGUAGUUUCUAUAUUACCAUGUCGUGCAAUGAACAUCUCAGCAUUUCAUGUUAUCCAUUACACUCUGCACUUCCUUCCCAAGAUUGUGCCAUCCUUGUCUAAACCAUUGUCUUGUUUUUUUCCUAGGAUGGUCAACACCCGCAGCAACCCUGCUGCCCCGGAGCAAGGGGAAGCCAGUGCAGCUAGGGGUGAAAAUCUGCCUCACCCACCUUCUCUGGCCGAAGUUAUGCUGGAGGCAGAAAGAAACAAGCGUGAGACUAACUGCUUGCUGGAGCGGAUUGAGCAUAACACUGCAUGUCAUCAGCGAAAUGACUUGGUGUCAAUCAAUGACUUUAUCAAGUUCUACCCACCAAAGUCUAAUCAUUCCGUCGAGCCCCUCGAUGCGGAUGACUGGCUUCGCAGCAUUACCCACAAGCUAUGUUCUGCCAACGUAGCCGAAGCUGAUAAGGUUACCUAUGUUGCCUAUCACCUUGAAGGCCCUGCUAGCCUUUGGUGGGAAAACUUUGAGGCUAUGUGCCCGGUCGGCCAAAUCACUACUUGGGCUGAAUUCAGUGAGGCUUUCCGUGAGCAUCACAUCACGGAAGGUCUCAUAGAUCGUAAGAGGGAAGAGUUCUGCAAUUUCACCCAAGGCAGACUGGUUGUGGAUGCAUAUAGUCGUGAAUUUGGGAAUCUGGCACGUUAUGCUCCUGAAGAGGUAUCCACCGAUGCUAAGAAGCAGGCAAGGUUCCUCAAGGGACUUAGCCCCGAGCUUCGCCACGAUCUUCGUCUACACGGGUGCACCUCCUUCCAGAAGUUGGUCAAUAAAGCCAUCAGUGCUGAGACAAGCCAGACUGACUAUGACACUUCACGCAAGCACUCUCGUGAUUUUGGUUCCUCAUCCGGCUCUGGAUCUCAGAAGCGCCGGGUGUGGUUCCAAGCACCGUGCUGCCACCCGGGUUCAUUCCAAGGCCAUCCUUUGAGGCGCCUCACCCCAACCAGCAGUUUGCACCGCCUAAGACCUAUGGUGGCCCCGCUGCUAAUGCUGCUCCACGCCCCAAUGUUGUGACAUGUUUCAAGUGUGGAGAGCCAGGUCACUACAGUCGAGAGUGUCCCCAGAACAACAACCCCAACCAGUCUGGAAAGUCCGUUGGCCGUGGUAAGCCAGCAAGAAAGACAUUCUACGCCAAGCCAGCCACCAUUACACGUGGCCAUGUCAACUAUGUCUCAGCUGAGGAGGCUCAUGAUGAUUCUAACGUCGUCAUUGGUACGCUCCUUGUUAAUUGCCAUCCGGCAUCUGUUCUUUUCCAUACUGGAGCAUCUCAUUCAUUCAUAUCUGAGAGCUAUGCUCGAUUGCAUAACACGACAUUCUGUGACAUGCCCACUACCAUGGAAAUUCAAACCCCUGGCUCUAGAUGGAAAACCCCCAGAGUAAGUCAUGGGAAUGAAAUUCUUGUCGAUAGACUUGUCUUCCUCGCAUCCUUAAUAGCUCUCAAGUCCUCGGACAUAAACAUCAUCUUGGGUAUGGACUGGAUGUCAGCCCAUUAUGCUAAAAUUGAUUGAUCUACUAGAACUGUUCAACUUACUCACCCAUCGGGAAAGACAGUCAAUGUCUAAACUCGAGUGGCCAAGCGCCAACUUUACUCCCUAAAUGCCAACCCCCUUCCAGACCUUGUAGAUAUUCCGGUAGUCUGAGACUUCCCGGAUGUCUUUCCAGAAGAACUCCCAGGUGUUCCACCUGACAGGGAUGUCGAGUUUGUGAUAGACCUUGUUCCAAGAACCGUUCCAAUUUCUAGAAGACCCUAUAAGAUGGCACCCUUAGAACUAGCCGAACUUAAGAACCAACUCGAUGAGUCCUUGAAAAAGGGUUUCAUCCGUCCUAGUUCCUCUCCUUGGGCUUGCCCCAUCCUCUUCGUCAAGAAGAAGGAUGGAACGGAUCGGAUGGUUGUAGAUUACCGACCUGUCAACUUGGUCACUAUCAAGAACAAGUAUCCGCUUCCCAGGAUCAAUGAUCUGUAUGAUCAUCUUGCUGGAUCCUCAGUCUUUUCCAAGAUGGAAGUGAGGUUGGGCUACCAUCAAAUCAAAAUAAAAAACAGGGACAUUCCCAAAACGGCCUUUGUUACUCGUUAUGGCCAAUACGAGUACACCGUUAUGUCCUUCGGUUUAACCAAUGCCCCAGCCACCUUCUCUCGGUUAAUGAACUCGGUCUUCAUGGAGUAUUUGGAUAAAUUCGUCGUAGUAUACCUCGAUGAUAUACUCAUCUACUCCAAGAGUAAGGAGGAACAUGCCGAACAUCUAAGGCUGGUAUUAACGAAACUUCGAGAGCAUCGCCUUUAUGCCAAAUUCUCCAAGUGUGAAUUUUGGUUGCCAGAAGUGACCUAUCUAGGCCAUGUAAUCUCUGGUAAGGGUAUUGCUAUCAAUCCCGAGCGAGUUCAAGCUGUCCUUGAUUGGACUCCACCUGAGACGGUCAAGCAAGUUCGGAGCUUCCUUGGCUUAGCGAGUUAUUGUCGCCGCUUCGUCGAGAAUUUCUCCAAGGUUGCUAAACCUCUAACUGAACUCCUCAAGAAAGAUAAAAAGUUCGAGUGGACCCCACAGUGCGAGUUCAGCUUUCAGGAACUGAAAAGAUGCCUGACAUCUGCUCCCGUACUGGUACCACUAGAUUUCUCCAAGGACUUUAUAAUCUAUUGCGACGCCUCGCGACAAGGACUAGGUUGCAUACUCAUGCAAGAUCGUCAGGUAAUUGCCUAUGCUGCACGGCAAUUACACCCACAUGAGGAAAAGUAUCCCACACAUGAUCUAGAGCUUGCAGUUGUAGUCCAUGCACUUAAAACAUGGCGACAUUACCUUCUCGGUAAUCGUUGCGAGAUCUUCACCAAUCACCAAAGUUUGAAAUAUACCUUCACCCAACCGGAUUUGAAUCUCAGGCAAAGACGCUGGGUCGAGUUGAUCUCGGAUUACGACUUAGGAAUAACUUACACCCCAGGCAAAGCCAAUGUCAUGGCUGAUGCGCUAAAUCGUAAAUUUUAUUGUAACAACUUGAUGUUACAACAACGUCAACCACUUCUCCAUGAGGAAUUUCGUAAGCUUAACCUUCAAAUUGUUCCUCAAGGAUUCCUAUCUACCUUGGUGGUGAAACAGACCCUUAUGGAUCAGAUCAUAAGCGCUCAGCGGUAUGACAAGGGAAUAUCUCGGAUCAAGCAGAACAUCGCUAGCGGAGUUGCUAAAUGUUUUUCCAUGGAUGAACGAGGUGUUGCCUUCUUUGAGAACCGCUUGGUGGUUCCCAAGAAACCAGAUCUACGACAACUGAUCCUUAAGGAAGCUCAUGAAGCCCCUCUCGCCAUUCAUCCCGGUAGUACUAAAAUGUAUCUAGAUCUACGCCAGAGGUUUUGGUGGACUAGGAUGAAGAGAGAAAUUGCUCAAUACAUUGCUAAUUGCGAUGUUUGUCGUCGUGUUAAAGCAGAGCAUCAAUGGCCUGCUGGCACCCUUCAACCUUUGGCUAUUCCCGAAUGGAAAUGGGAUAAAAUUAGUAUGGAUUUCAUUACUGGGUUUCCCGGGACCCAGAGAGGGAAUAAUGCUAUAUUCGUCGUGAUCGAUCGUCUUUCCAAAGUAGCCCAUUUCCUACCUGUUCAUGAGAGUAUCACCGCUAGCCAGCUAGCUGGCCUAUACAUCUCCCGAAUAGUGUCUCUUCAUGGUGUCCCAUUGGAAAUUAACUCAGACCGUGGGAGUCUCUUCACCUCUCGAUUUUGGAAAAUCUUCCAAAAUGCUAUGGGAACUCGUCUCUCUUUUAGUACCGCCUUCCACCCCCAAUCAAGUGGUCAAGUAGAGAGAGUCAAUCAAAUUCUGGAGGAUAUGCUCCGAUCUUCUGUCAUCUCAUUCGGAAUGGAUUGGGAGAAAUGCCUUCCAUUCGCAGAGUUCGCUUAUAACAAUAGUCAUCAAGCUAGCUUGGGCAAAGCUCCUUUCGAAGUUCUCUAUGGACGAAAAUGUCGAACGCCUCUUAACUGGUCAGAAACCGGGGAAAGACAACUCUUUGGCCCGGAUAUGAUUCAGGAAGCAGAAGAGCAGGUUCGCGUUAUUCGUGAGAAAAAAAACAGCCCAAUCUCGUCAAAAGAGCCAAUAUGAUCGUAAACAUAAGCUCAUGACCUAUGAAGUCGGCGAGAAGGCUUACCUUCGGGUUACUCCGUUAAAGGGAACCCAUCAUUUCGGUAUCAAAGGCAAAUUGGCUCCGCGUUACAUUGGACCCUUUCGCAUUCUUGCCAAACGAGGAGAAGUUGCCUACCAAUUGGAACUACCUCCGCAUCUUUCCAGAGUUCACGAUGUCUUCCACGUUUCUCAACUCAGGCGUUGCUUCGCGGAUCCUAUCCGUGGAGUGGACCACGAAACGCUUGAUCUACAAGAUGAUCUCUCAUAUCGGGAAUAUCCCGUUUGUAUCCUUGAUCAAGAUGAGCGUACCACUCGACGCCAUAACAUCAAGUUUCUUAAGGUUCAAUGGUGACACCACUCUGAAAAAGAAUCCACUUGGGAAAGGGAGGAUCGUCUUCGACUCGAGUACUCCACCUUCUUCCCAACGGAUCCUAAAUCUCAGGACGAGAUUUUUCGAGUGGGGGUGAGUUGUCACACCCUAGCUAGUUCAUGCAUUGGGGUGUUGCAUCAUGUUUAAUUUCCCAGAAAACUGAAAUGGGGAUGACAGAACCCCCAGCACCCCCCCCUCCCUUGAACAACUAGGGUUUACUAAAAACUUUUUCAAUAAACCUGAAAUGCCCUUCUAAAAAGUCCACCCUUUUUGUUUUGGGUUAAAACCUUUGACAAAAAUGGUGCACACUUUUCUAGGACAUCUUAAGGUCAUUGGAUUAAUUCAUUACUAAUUGCAUUUGGGCAAUUCAAAUCCUAUAAAUAUUUUAAAAUGCCCAAAUAAUCCUAAAAGUAUUUUUAGGCUCUUGAGAAUAUUUUCAAAUGUGCCUUUUAAUAUUUUCAGGUUUUUCCUAAAUGAAAUAGUAUUUUUACUAUUUCAAAACACAAAACAGAAUAAAUAAAAAACAGAAAAAGAGAGAGAAAGGAAACUUACCAGCCGGCCCACCUGGCGGCCCAGCACUGUGCUGGCCCAUGGCCAGUCGGCUGCUUCCUCUCGCCAGGUAGGCAGGCAGAGAGGUGAGAGCCGGCGCGCCUGAGCUCGCCACGGCGCCACCUGCUUGCCGCCCGCGCCCUGGAUGUCUGUACGACCUCCACGUCGUCGCCCCAACCCCCUGGACCCCUCCAUUCGCCCCCAAUGCCUCUCCCUUGCCCUCUCCCACCAUGGUCGACGCCCCUGCCGCCGCACCGUCGCCGUAGCCGCGCCCUCUGUCGUCCUCGCGCCGCGCCAUCAUGUCCACAAGCUCCGCCGUCGUCGACCACGUCGAGCAGGCCGAGCCCCGAGCGCUCGCCCGCUCUGGAGUCACCCCGACCCCAUCUUCCCCAACUCCGGCCGCCGGAGAUCCCCUUCGCCUUCACCGCAGCACCAGCUCAUCCCCGACCUCUCCGUCUUCCUCGUUGUGAUCGCCGUGAGCCCAACUACCUCCUCCCCCUCUCCAUUAACUUCCUCCUGCACUGUGUGCACUGCACCACGCACACCCAAGCACCCGCCGCCGCCGAUCUCGUCACCGACGUGACUCCGGCCACCCACCGGCCACACCCUUGUGACCAAUGCACUCACCGCACUCGCAGGAGCCCGUAGCACCACUCCACGCGCCUCGCCGUGCCCCAUAGCCUCGGUUUCGACCUCGCCCGAACUCUGGCGACCGCCAAGGUUGUCGCCGACGAUGUUUCCGGCCACCCCAGCUCCACCCACUGCCACCACUCGAUGCGGCUUGCUCCCAGCUACGCGUAGAUGCUCUCCGCUGUCAUUUUGGUCGCUGGAGCACGAAACCUGCAUCACUCCGCCGCGUCUGGCCUCGCCGGCGGCUAAACGCCGGCGAGUUUGACCCUGUUUGACACCGUGUGGGCCCAGGUUGACUUCCCCUGAGUCUAUGGCACGUGGGACUGCCCUGCUAAUUAACUUAGAUUAUCACUAAUCAAACUUAGUUAGUUAAUUUACCACUGACAGACGGGGCCCACCGGUCAGGUUUGACCUGGGCUGGCGCCUUUGACCUGCUGACGUCACCCUGACGCAAUGCUGACGCAAUAACUAAAUUACUGGAAUUAUUCUUAUAUAGGAAAUUCCAGAAAAUAUUACAAACUUCAAAAAUUCAUAACUUUUAAUCUGUAACUCCAAAUGCAAAGAUUUAUAUAUGAAAUUUGAUCAGAAAAAUUCAAUCUUUCCAUCUAUAAUGGUUUUAUGCAUAACAAAACAUUUUAACCUUGCUGAUUAGGUGAAACAAGCUACUACACUUAUAAUGCUUAAGAACAUAAGCUUCCAUUUGAAUCUUUGAUUCAAAUGGACCCAAACCAACUUGUUUCACAUUGCAUUAGGCAGGACACCUCAUAUUGCCAUGUCAUAGCAUGCAUCAUAUUGUUGCAUAUUGCCAUGUGAUGAUUGUGUUAUGUGGUGUCUUUCGUGGUUGGUUCUGCCUCCGAGGAUAUCUCCGAGUAUCCAACUGAAGGGCAGUACCCUACUACUACUCCAUCAGGCAAUCAGCACCAUUGAUCAUAUCGAUACAAUCCAUGUUCUCGCUUCUGCUCUCAUUUACUACAUUAAGACAACAACAUUUCAAACUGCUGUGUGCUGCGGUAGUUGAACCUCUAUCCUCUGCAUGACCUGUCAUUGCCACAGUAACUAGAUGAAACCCACUAGCAUGUGUAGGAGUUGAUUGAGCCAUGUAUGUGUUUCCUACCUUGCUAUGCCUGCUAUGCUUAGAGUUGUGUCAGGUAUGGUUCAUCUGGGUGAUGGGCUAGAGUGAAAUGAUUACGUCGGUAAUGUGAGGGAUGUGUUGAACAUGAUUUGGUAAAGGUAUCGAUGAGAUGCCAUGUACGAGUACAUGGUGGGUUGUUUCAUUGAGGUUGUCCCUAAGAACUGAGAUCUGUAUGUGUGAUUUAAGAAUCAGUUACUACCAUGCAUUGGGAUCCUUAAUUGACCCUCUCGGCUUCUUAACCACUCUAGUACUCUGUCCAGGAGUUGCAACUAGUUUCUGGUGUUUGUAGAUUAUGUGUUGGUGGCCGUGCGUAGUGCUGACCCUAGGGGUGGGCUAUGUUGCGGUAGAUACACUGUGGCCGAGUAUGUCGGGCGCCCGUUUGGCGUCUCGGGACCCUGUACACAUCGUUCGGGGCCGUAUGUGGAAACCUCGGCCGGACUCCCUGCGGAUGGAACCUGGAUAGGCGAUAAACCUGGACUAGAGACUUGUGUGUUUAGGUAGGCCGUGGCCGACACCCUCGUUGGGCUUCCGCUUGAAGGUUGUCGAGUACAUGUUGUGUAACGACGAUAAGUGGUGAGAGUGUGUAUGAAGAAGUACACCCCUGCAGGGUUAACAUCAUCUAUUCGAAUAGCCGCGUCCGCGGUAAAGUACUACUUGGUUGCCUAUACAGUUCAUAGACAAGUUAAUGUUUACUACUAAAAGACUCAAGAUAAGUGUGAGUACCGAGGAUGGCCCUCUCGUAGGAUGACGAGGGAGGAUACCCAGUGGAGUAUUGUGUUGGUGAUUAGUGGACUCGUGUGCGAAAACUAUUUUAUAGUGGUGUCUCGUAGGAUAGCUUAGCCAAGAGUCAGAGCUGGCUUGCUGCAAUAACUCCACCACCUUCUUGAGAAUGAGCAUGUAUAGUAGUAUCUGUUGUAAGACUUGCUGAGUACCUUUGUACUCAUGUUGCUUUAAUUACUGUUUUCAGACGACAAUACCGCCCCCUCCGAUGGGUUUUAUGUAGACCUCGACGUCGAUGAGUAAUUUGCCACCUAGGUGGUGAUUCUGGCCAUGGAGGGGCCUAUGUAGAUAGACAGGCUUCGACAAGCCUUCUUUCUUUCUAGUGUCUGUACUCAGACUUAUUUGCUUUCGCAUGUGCUUGUAUGCUUGUAUGACUUGAGUGUCGGGUCUUGUGACCCCUACCUGUAUGAACAUGUUAUGUAUGGCGCUCCGGAGCCUUUAAAUAAAGUACUUGAGUUGUAGAGUUUUGUUGUGAUGCCAUGUUGUAUUUACACAUAUCGAGCAUAUUGUGUGUAUGAUUGAAAUGCUUGGUAUGUGUGGGAUCCGACAAUCUAGUUGUUUAUCCUUGGCAGCCUCUCUUAUGGGGAAAUGUAGUCUAGUGCUCCUUGAGCCAUAGUAGUCCGCUACAGCCCGGUUCAUCGGAGUCCUGCUAGCCCGGCACUACUGCUCAAGACACUUGACUGGCCGGCAUGUGUUUCACUUCGUUCCUAUGUCUGUCCCUUCGGGGAAAUGUCACGCGGUGACAUCCGGAGUCCUGCCUAACCUGCUACAGCCCGGGUUCCCCGGAGUCCUGUUAGCCCAGUGCUACAGCCUGAAUUCACACGCUGUUGACCGACAUGCUCGAUGUGAUUCAUCUAUGCCUGUCCCCAUAGGUCUGUGCCGCUUUGGGUUCACGACUAGCCAUGUCGGCCCGGGUUCUCUGUCAUAUGAACGUUAAGCGUGCGGACCCUACGGGUUAGAGAACUAUGUAGACAUGACCAACACACCUCUCUGGUCAAUAAUUAAUAGCGGGACCUGGAUGCCCAUAUUGGCUCCUACAUAUUCUACGAAGAUCUUUAUCGGUCAGACCGCAUAACAACAUACAUUGUUCCCUUUGUCAUUGGUAUGUUACUUGCCCUCGAUUCGGUCGUCGAUAUCUCAAAACCUAGUUCAAUCUCGUUACCAGCAAGUCUCUUUACUCGUUCUGUAAUACAUCAUCCCGCAACUAACUCAUUAGUUGCAAUGCUUGCAAGGCUUAUAGUGAUGUGCAUUAUGAUAUGUCUCCGUCGUAUCUACUUUUCCAAACACUUUUGCCCUUGUUUUGGACUCUAACUUGUAUGAUUUGAAUGGAACUAACCCGGACUGGCGCUGUUUUCAGCAGAAUUACCAUGGUGUUGUUUUAUGUGCAGAAAACAAAUAUUCUUGGAAUGACCUGAAACUCCACGGAACAUCUUAGAAAAAACAAUAAAAAAUCCUUGCCAAAGAUGAAGACCAGGGGGCCCACACCCUUCUCACGAGGGUGGGGGGCGCCCCCCCCCUAAGGCGUGCCCCCCAACCUCGUGGGCCUCCUGUUGCGUCUCCAACUCCAACUCCACCUCCAUAUCUUGAGUUUCAAUGAGAAAAAAAUCAGAGAGAAGAAAUCAUCGCGUUUUACGAUACGGAGCCGCCGCCAAGCCCUAAAACCUCUCGGGAGGGCUGAUCUGCAGUCCGUUCGGGGCUCUGGAGAGGGGGAUUCGUCGUCGUCGUCAUCAUCAACCAUCCUCCAUCACCAAUUUCAUGAUGCUCACCGCCGUGCGUGAGUAAUUCCAUCGUAGGCUUGCUGGACGGUGAUGGGUUGGAUGAGAUUUAUCAUGUAAUCGAGUUAGUUUUGUUAGGGUUUGAUCCCUAGUAUCCAUUAUGUUCUGAGAUUGAUGUUGCUAUGACUUUGCUAUGCUUAAUGCUUGUCACUAGGGCCCGAGUGCCAUGAUUUCAGAUCUGAACCUAUUAUGUUUUCAUGAAUAUAUGUGAGUUCUUGAUCCUAUCUUGCAAGUCUAUAGUCACCUACUAUGUCUUAUGAUCCGGCAACCCUGAAGUGACAAUAAUCGGGACCACUCCCGGUGAUGAACAUAGUUUGAGGAGUUCAUGUAUUCACUAUGUGCUAAUGCUUUGUUCCGGUUCUCUAUUAAAAGGAGGCCUUAAUAUCCCUUAGUUACCAAUAGGACCCCGCUGCCACGGGAGGGUAGGACAAAAGAUGUCAUGCAAGUUCUUUUCCAUAAGCACGUAUGACUAUAUACGGAAUACAUGCCUACAUUAUAUUGAUGAAUUGGAGCUAGUUCUGUGUCACCCUAUGUUAUGACUGUUACAUGAUGAACCGCAUCCGGCAUAAUUAUCCAUCACUGAUCCGGUGCCUACGAGUUUUCCAUAUACUGGUUUUCGCUUAUUUACUUUCCUGCUGCUACUGUUACAAACACUACAAAAUACCAAAAACAUUACUUUUGUUGUCUUUACUUUUGUUGCCGCUACCACCACUAUCAUAUUACUUUGCUACUAAACACUUUGCUGCACAUAUUAAGUUUCCAGCUGUGGUUGAAUUGACAACUCAGCUGCUAAUACUUGAGAAUAUUCUUUGGCUCCCCUUGUGUCGAAUCAAUAAAUUUGGGUUGAAUACUCUACCCUCGAAAGCUGUUGCGAUCCCCUAUACUUGUGGGUUAUCAAGACUAAUUUCUGGCGUCGUUGCCGAGGAGCAUAGCUCUAUUCUUUGAGUCACUUGGGAUUUAUAUCUGCUGGACACUAUGAAGAACUUAAGAGAUCCAAAAACCAAGAUCUAUCCCUCAACUACAAGGGGAGGUAAGGAACUGCCAUCUAGCUCUGCACUUGAUUCACCUUCUGUUAUGAGUAAGUUUGCAACACCUGCAUCUACUUCUGCUAUUCGUUCUGAUAUGUCGCAUGUUAUUGAUGAUGCCACUUCUGCUAUGCAUGAUACUUAUGAUGAAGCUGCUUCUAUGCCUGGUACUACUGUACCCCUUAGUGAAUUUCUUGAUGAACAAAUUGCUAGGGCUAGAGAAAAAGAAAUUAUUGAAUCUGAAUACGAUGAUGAUAGUGAUGAUGAAAAUAUGCCUGUUAUUCCUAAGGGUUAUCUUUUUGAUAUGGAAUCUUCUGCCGCUAUUUCUGCUUCCAAAGAUAGAUAUGAGCUUAAGAGGUUAUUUAUUAAAUGGAACAAAGAAUCACUUAGAGAUAAAAAUGAGACCUGACCCUGCUUUUGCUACUUCACCUAUAUGUGUUCCUGAUAAGGAUUAUGAAUUCUCUGUUGAUCCUGAUAUAAUUACUUUGGUUGAAUCUGAUCCAUUUUAUGGCUAUGAAUCUGAAACUGUUGUGGCACAUCUUACUAAGUUAAAUGAUAUAGCUGCCCUGUUUACUAAUGAUGAGAGAUCACGUUACUUUUAUAUACUCAAAAUAUUUCCGUUCUCAUUAAAGGGUGAUGCUAAGACAUGGUUUAAUUCUCUUGAUCCUGGUUGUGUGUGUAGUCCCCAGGAUAUGAUUUAUUACUUCUCUGCUAAAUAUUUCCCUGCUCAUAAGAAACAAGCUGCUUUGAGGGAAAUAUACAACUUUGUGCAAAUUAAAGAAGAGAGUCUCCCACAAGCUUGGGGGAGGCUUCUCAAGUUACUUAAUGCUUUGCUUGAUCAUCCUCUUAAGAAACCUGAAAUACUUGAUAUCUUUUAUAAUGGACUAACCGAUGCUUCCAGAGAUUACCUGUAUAGUUGUGCCGGUUCUCUUUUCAGGGAAAGAACACCAGAUGAAGAUGAAAUUCUAUUGAAUAAUAUGUUGACAAAUGAAAAUAAUUGGGCACCUCCCGAGCCAGCUCCUUAGCCAACUCCUGCUCCAAUUACUGAGCCUAUUCCUAAACCAACUCCGAAGAAGAGAGGUGUUCUAUUUCUCAGUCCCGAAGAUAUGCAAGAGGCAAAGAAAUCUAUGAAAGAAAAAGGUAUUGAAGCUGAAGACGUUAAGAAUUUACCUCCUAUUGAAGAAAUACAUGGUCUUAAUAUACCACCUAUUGAAGAAACAUAUGAUCUUGAUUAUUUAUUUAUUGAAGAACCUCCUGAUCCCGAUAUCCCGACACAGGUAGUAAAGGUAAAUUCUCUCUAUAGAUAUGAUAAAGCUGAAGUCCCUCCUACUAAAAUUGCUAGUCAAUGCUUGGAUGAGUUUGAUAACUUUAUGUACAAGUAAGAUGACUUCAAUGCUUAUUUUGGUAGACAAUUAAAAGAAAAUGCUUAUAUGAUUAGACGCUUGGGUGAUUAUAUGGCUGAUAUUAAAGGUGAACUUAAACUUGUUAGCAAACAUGCUUCUAUGGUUACCACUCAAGUAGAACAAGUACUUAAGGCUCAAAAAGAAGUGCUUAAUGAAAUGAAUAGUAAGAAAAAUGAUUAUGCUGUUAAAGAGGCUACUAGAACUAGUAGAAUGACUCAGGAACCUUUGUAUCCUAAAGGCCACCCUAAGAGAAUUGAGCAAGAUUCUCAAAGAAAUAAUAUUGAUGUUCCUAGUUCUUCUAAAAAGAAGAAGAAGAGAAAUGAUAGAACUGUGCAAACUUCUAGUGAACCUAUUGCUGAACCACCUGAUAAUCCAAAUGAUAUUUGUAUGUCUGAUGCUGAAACACAAUCUGGUAAUGAACAUGAACCUAGUAAAAAUAUUAAUGAUGAUGUUCAUGAUGAUGCUCAACCUAGUAAUGAUAAUGAUGUAGAAAUUGAACCUGCUGUUGAUCUUGAUAACCCACAAUCAAAGAAUCAACGUUAUGAUAAAAGAGACUUUGUUGCUAGGAAACAUGGUAAAGAAAGGGAACCUUGGGUUUAGAAACCCAUGCCUUUUCCUUCGAAACCAUCCAAGAAAAAGGAUGAUGAGGAUUUUGAGCACUUUGCUGAAAUGAUUAGGCCUAUCUUUUUGCGUAUGAGAUUAACUGAUGUGCUCAAAACAAAUCCUUAUGCUAAAUAUAUGAAGGAUAUCAUUACUAAUAAAAGAAAGAUACCGGAAGCUGAAAUUUCCACCAUGCUUGCUAAUUACACUUUUAAGGGUGGAAUACCAAAGAAACUUGGAGAUCCCAGAGUACCUACUAUACCUUGCUCCAUUAAAAGAAUUAUAUUAAAACUGCUUUAUGUGAUCUUGGAGCCGCUGUUAGUGUUAUGCCUCUCUUUAUAUCAUAGACUUGACUUGAAUAAGUUGACACCUACUGAAAUAUCUUUGCAAAUGGCUGAUAAAUCAACUGCUAUACCUGUCGGUAUUUGUGAGGAUGUGCCUGUUGUGGUUGCGAACAUUACUAUUUUAACGGACUUUGUUAUACUUGAUAUUCCCGAGGAUGAUAGUAUGUCUAUUAUUCUUGGAAGACCUUUUCUUAGUACUGCAGGGGCUGUUAUUGAUUGCAACAAAGGCAAUGUCACUUUUCAUGUUAAUGGUAAUGAGCAUACGGUACACUUUCCGAGGAAACAACCUCAAGUUCAUAGUAUCAAUUCUAUUGGAAAAAUUCCAUCAAUUAUAUUUGGAGGUUUUGAAUUUCCUCUUCCUACUGUCAAGAAGAAAUAUGAUAUUCUUAUUAUUGGGGAUGUGCAUAUCCCCGUUGAGGUAACUUAGUGUUAUUCGAAAUUUCUCCGGUUUCAUGAUUAUCGGAAUGAGUUUGUUAACAAGACUUGAUCAACCUUGUUAGUGGAUUCUUUUUGAUGAGCAUGAGAUGGAUGAAACUAGAAGCACAAAAUCUUCUGUACUCUCUCUAUAUUUUCUGUUAAUUAGUAGAAAUAAAGUAAGAAUAGUAUUUUUCUGUCUGUUUCCUGACUUAUCCGUGCAAUAUAAAAAUAUCCCAAAAUGCCAAUUUAAUAUGAUUUUUUCAGAAAUAUUUGAGGAUUUACUGUGCAAAAAUUACCGCGGGAGGAGCUGCCACCUGGCCACGAGGGUGGUCGGCCCCCCCUAUAGGGCGCGCCCCCUGUCUCUUGGGCCCACGGUGGCCCUCCUCCACUUAUCCCAGCACCCAUCUUCUUCCUCUAUCUCACACAAACCCGAAAAACCAACUCAGGCAUGAGUUCCAGCCACUUUUGCUGCAAUUUUCGAUCUCCUUGCUCAAAGCACCUCUCGCAAAACUGCUUGGUGAAAUUGUUCCUUGGUAUGUGACUCCUCCAUUGGUCCAAUUAGUUUUUGUUCUAGUGCUUUAUUCUUUGCAAAUUGGUGCUGCAUAGGUGACCAUGUUCUUGAGCUUGCAUGUCAAAUUUAUAUGGUUCCAAGUAGUUCUAAUGCUUGAUAUAGGCUCUAGGUACUUGUAGGAGUAGUUGCCAUCAGUUUUAUUGAAGUUGGUUCACUUUUAUUUUGAAGUUACUAAAAAUUUCAGAAUUUUUUAGAAAAUUAUGAGGAGAUUAUUGAGGGGCUCAUCGAGCCAAAGCUCGAAGGAAAAGGCACCAAAGACUAAGUAUAAUUUGCCGCGCAUUGCGGAGAUUCGGGCGUGUGAAUGGCCUUCUGAUGAUUUCUUGAGAGCAGCCGGUAUCUAUGAAGAUUUUCAUGAAUUGGCUCAUAAUGCAGGCCUCACCGCUUUCCUCCACGACCAAUGCGAUCAGUAUCUCUUACUCACAAAUACCUUUGUGCAAAACUUUCAUUUUCAUUCUAGGAACUCACCACCUACGGUGGAGUUUCAUUUAUAUGAUGAGCAUAAGGAGAUGUCACUUUAUGAUUUUUGUUGGAUUUGUUUAGUCCCUUUUGAGGGCAAGACAGAAGAACCACAUCAUGAUGAUGUGGCUGGGUUUAUUGAUAAUAACAAUGUAGGAGAAACUAGGAAGGUUUCCGACGCACGAAUCACUAGCAUACAUUUCCCUGUUUUGCGUUACUUUGCAUUAUUUGCUAGUCGUUGUUUAAUUGGACGCGGAAAUUCUGGAAACCUUAGUAUCCCUGAUUUAAUUAUUCUGCUCCAAGGUUUAUACAGUGAUAACACUUUUAGUUUGGGCGGUAUUAUUGCUAGACGGUUAAAUAUGAACUGUACUAAGGGCCCCAUCUUUGGGGGCAUCUAUGCCACACGCCUAGCCGCACAUUUUAACAUACCUAUUAGGCAUGCUGAGAAGGAAGAAAAGGUGCUGCCCCGUGUUUAUCUAGAUCAUAAAAGUAUGGUGGCACAUGAUUUUAUUGUUAAAAAUAGGGCAGGUGAGCUUAAAUAUCAAUUGUUCUUUAAUAAACAUCAUCCUGAUACUAUUACCUUGCAUGCUCCUUCUUUGUUUGAUUUGACUGCAGGCAUGUACCUUGUUCCGUUGAUGGCUAUUCACGGCUACCGGAACCCUGUACCAGCCCCGAAACAUGAGCCACAAGAUGAGCCUCCACGACAAUCUGUUUAUUCUUGGGAUCCAGAGAUGACUCUCAGCCAGUGGCAGUCAGAGUCUUCUUCUUCAUCACAGUAUGAUCCCAACUAUUCCUCCUCAUCACAGUACGACCCCAACAACUAUUAUUAUGGAUAUCCGCCAGACCAGUCGUGGCCAUAGACCAACUUAGUCCAAAAGCCUAAGCUUGGGGGAGUACGUAUUUCUCAUCGACAUUACAUUUAUGUUAACACACACUCAUUGCUAGAUGUCGGUGCUCAUACUUUUUCACUGUAAUAUCCAUGCUAGUUUAUUUUCUUUUUCCUGCUUUCUUCUUGUGUGUUUGUUAAACCUUAAGAAAAACCAAAAAAAUAGUAGUAGUUUAUUUUUCUGCUGUAGUAGUAAUAAAUUAAAAGAAAACCCAAAAAUAUUUCCCGUUCUUCUUUUGCUUGUUGGGAGCUUUCCCGUGUAAAUAGUUUUAUUUCUUUUCUUUUCUUUGGGGGUCAGUAGGAGAAGACCAUAAUUAAAUUGUUGAAGUGGCUCUUAUAUGCAUCAUUGUUGAUUUAACCAAGAGCCCAUGUUGCCUUGUCUUCACCUGUUUACUGUAUGCUCGCAGAUUCCAGCUUAGUCCAAUGCGCGUACACUCUUAUUAUUAUUCACACCGUUCGGUCAUGCAAGUGAAAGGCAAUUAUGAUGAUAUAUGAUGGACUGACUGAGAUGAGAAAAGCUGGUAUGAACUUGACCUCUUUUGUCUUUGUAAAUAUGAUGAGCCCGUCGUUCUUGAUUCAGCUUAUAAUGAAUAAACAUGUUUGCAAUGACAAUUAGAGAUUAUAGUUACUUGUGCCAUGCUUGAUUAGCUAUGAGUUAUAAUGAUUUACCUUGUAUGCCAACAUGCUAUUGAGAUGAUUAUGAUGUGGUAUGAUGGGGUGGUAUCCUCUUUUGAAUGAUUUAAGUGACUUGACUUGGCACAUGUUCACGCAUGUAGUUGAAACAAAAUCAACAUAGCCUUCACGAUAUUUAUGUUCAUGGUGGAUUAUAUCCUACUCAUGCUUGCAUCCAAUGUUUAUUAAUUUUAAUGCAUGUACAUGGCUGUUGCCGCUCUCUAGUUGGUCGCUUCCCAGUCUUUUGCUAGCCUUCACUUGUACUAAGCGGGAAUACUGCUUGUGCAUCCAAUCCCUUAAACCCCAAAGUUAUUUCAGAUGAGUCCACCAUACCUUCCUAUAUGCGCUAUCUACCUGUCGUUCCAAGUAAAUUUGUAUGUGCCAAACUCUAAACCUUCAAAUAAACAUUCUGUUUUGUAUGCUCGAAUAGCCCAUGUAUCAACAAAGGUUGUCCUUAUCUUCCGUGUUAGGCGGGUUAUUGUCAAGAGGAGUAGACUCCGCUCCUCACUCACGAGAAAAUGGCUGGUCACCGGGAUGCCCAGUCCCAUGCUUUAUGCAAACUAAAUCAAAAUUAAUUGCAAACAAAACUCCCCCUGGGACCUGAUGUAUGUACGAGGCACUCAUUGUUUCGAGCAAGCCAUGGAUUGAUGCUUGUUGGUGGAGGGGGAGUAUAAACUUUACCAUUCUAUUUGGGAACCGCUUAUAAUGUGUUUAGCAUGGAAGAUAUGGACAUCUCUUAGUUUUUACGUUGACAAUGAAAGUAUACCGCUCAAAAUACAAUUUAUCUCUAUUUCAAAACUGAGCUCUGGCACCUCUACAAAUCCCUGCUUCCCUCUGCGAAGGGCCUAUCCAUUUACUUUUAUGUUGAGUCAUCACCCUCUUAUUAAAAAGCACUAGCUGGAGAGCACAGCCAUCAUUUGCAUUCAUCACUGUUAAUUUAUAUUGGGUAUGACUAUGAUUGGAUCUCUUUUACCACGAAUUACAAUGUCUAGUCAGUUCUUGAUCUUUAAAGGUGUGCUGCAUUUAUGUUUUGCGGUCUCGGAAAGGGCUAGCGAGAUACCAUCUUGUUAUAUCAUAUUAUGAUUGUUUUGAGAAAGUGUUGUCAUCCGAGAUUUAUUAUUAUGACUUGCUAGUUGAUUAUGCUAUUGAUAUGAGUAAUUGUGAGACCUGAGAAUUAUUGCAAAUGUGGUUAGUUAUGAUCUAUACUGAAAACUUGAAUGCUGGCUUGACAUAGUUACAACAACAAGAGCAAACAGAGUUUGUAAAAGUUUUUCUUUCUUUCUUUCAGUUUGUCAACUGAAUUGCUUGAGGACAAGAAAGGGUUUAAACUUGGGGGAGUUGAUACGUCUCUAUCGUAUCUACUUUUCCAAACACUUUUGCCCUUGUUUUGGACUCUAACUUGUAUGAUUUGAAUGGAACUAACCCGGACUGACACUGUUUUCAGUAGAAUUACCAUGGUGUUGUUUUAUGUGCAGAAAACAAAUAUUCUCGGAAUGACCUGAAACUCCACGGAACAUCUUAGAAAAAACAAUAGAAAAUCCUCGCCAAAGAUGAAGACCAUGGGGCCCACACCCUUCUCACGAGGGUGGGGGCGCCCCCCCCCCCCCUAGGGCGCGCCCCCUACCUCGUGGGCCCCCUGUUGCGUCUCCGACUCCAACUCCACCUCCAUAUAUUGAGUUUCGAUGAGAAAAAAAUCAGAGAGAAGAAAUCAUCGUGUUUUACCAUACGGAGCCGCCGCCAAGCCCUAAAACCUCUCAGGAGGGAUGAUCUGGAGUCCGUUCGGGGCUCCGGAGAGGGGGAUUCGUCGCUGUCAUCAUCAUCAACCAUCCUCCAUCACCAAUUUCAUGAUGCUCACCACCGUGCGUGAGUAAUUCCAUCAUAGGCUUGCUGGACGGUGAUGGGUUGGAUGAGAUUUAUCAUGUAAUCGAGUUAGUUUUGUUAGGGUUUGAUUCCUAGUAUCCAUUAUGUUCUGAGAUUGAUGUUGCUAUGACUUUGCUAUGCUUAAUGCUUGUCACUAGGGCCCGAGUGCCAUGAUUUCAGAUCUGAACCUAUUAUGUUUUCAUGAAUAUAUGUGAGUUCUUAUCCUAUCUUGCAAGUCUAUAGUCACCUACUAUGUGUUAUGAUCCGGCAACCCCAAAGUGACAAUAAUCGGGACCACUCCCGGUGAUGACCAUAGUUUGAGGAGUUCAUGUAUUCACUAUGUGCUAAUGCUUUGUUCCGGUUCUCUAUUAAAAGGAGGCCUUAAUAUCCCUUAGUUUCCAAUAGGACCCCGCUGCCACGGGAGGGUAGGACAAAAGAUGUCAUGCAAGUUCUUUUCCAUAAGCACGUAUGACUAUAUACGGAAUACAUGCCUACAUUACAUUGAUGAAUUGGAGCUAGUUCUGUGUCACCCUAUGUUAUGACUGUUACAUGAUGAACCUCGUCCGGCAUAAUUAUCCAUCACUGAUUCGGUGCCUACGAGUUUUCCAUAUACUGGUUUUCGCUUAUUUACUUUCCCGCUGCUACUGUUACAAUCACUACAAAAUACCAAAAACAUUACUUUUGCUGUCUUUACUUUUGUUGCCGCUGCCACCACUAUCAUAUUACUUUGCUACUAAACACUUUGCUGCAGAUACUAAGUUUCCAGGUGUGGUUGAAUUGAAACUCAGCUGCUAAUACUUGAGAAUAUUCUUUGGCUCCCCUUGUGUCGAAUCAAUAAAUUUGGGUUGAAUACUCUACCCUCGAAAGAUGUUGCGAUCCCCUAUACUUGUGGGUUAUCACAUUACCGAGUGAGCCCAGAGAUACCUCUCCUACAAUCGGAGUGACAAAUCCUAAUCUCGAAAUACGCCAACCCAACAAGUACCUUCGGAGACACCUGUAGAGCACCUUUAUAAUCACCCAGUUACGUUGUGAUGUUUGGUGGCACACAAAGUGUUCCUCUGAUAAACAGGAGUUGCAUAAUCUCAUAGUCAUAGGAACAUGUAUAAGUCAUGAAGAAAGCAAUAGCAACAAACUAAACGAUCAUCGUGCUAAGCUAACGGAUGGGUCAAGUCAAUCACAUCAUUCUCUAAUGAUGUGAUCCCGUUAAUCAAUGACAACUCAUGUCUAUGGUUAGGAAACAUAACCAUCAUUGAUUCAACGAGCUAGUCAAGUAGAGGCAUACUAGUGACACUCUGUUUGUCUAUGUAUUCACACAAGUAUUAUGUUUCCGGUUAAUACAAUUCUAGCAUGAAUAAUAAACAUUUAUCAUGAUAUAAGGAAAUAAAUAAUAACUUUAUUAUUGCCUCUAGGGCAUAUUUCCUUCGGUCUCCCACUUGCACUAGAGUCAAUAAUCUAGAUUACAAAGUAAUGAUUCUAACACCCAUGGAGCCUUGGUGUUGAUCAUGUUUUGCUCGUGGAAGAGGCUUAGUCAACGGGUCUGCAACAUUCAGAUAUGUAUGUAUCUUGCAAAUUUCUAUGUCUCUCACCUAGACUAUAUCCCGGAUGAAAUUGAAGCGUCUCUUGAUGUGCUUGGUUCUCUUGUGAAAUCUGGAUUCCUUCGCCAAGGAAAUUGCACCAGUAUUGUCACAAAAGAUUUUCAUUGGACCUGAUGCACUAGGUAUGACACCUAGAUCGGAUAUGAACUCCUUCAUCCAGACUCCUUCAUUCGCUGCUUCCGAAUCAGCUAUGUACUCUGCUUCUCAUGUAGAUCCCGCCACGACGCUUCAUUUAGAACUGCACCAACUGACAGAUCCACCUUUCAAUGUAAACACGUAUCCGGUUUGCGAUUUAGAAUUGUCCGGAUCAGUGUCAAAGCUUGCAUCGAUGUAACCAUUUACGACUAGCUCUUUGUCACGUCCAUAAACGAGAAACAUAACCUUAGUCCUUUUCAGGUAUUUCAGGAUGUUCUUGACCGCUGUCCAGUGAUCCACUCCUGGAUUACUUUGGUACCUCCCUGCUAGACCUAUAGCAAGGCAUACAUCAGGUCUGGUACACAGCAUUGCAUACAUGAUAGAGCCUAUGGCUGAAGCAUAGGGAACAUCUUUCAUCUUCUCUCUAUCUUUUGCAGUGGUCGGGCAUUGAGUCUUACUCAACUUCACACCUUGUAACAUAGGCAAGAACCCUUUCUUUGCUUGAUCCAUUUUGAACUUCUUCAAAACGUUGUCAAGGUAUGUGCUUUGUGAAAGUCCAAUUAAGCGUCUUGAUCUAUCUCUAUAGAUCUUGAUGCCCAAUAUAUAAGCAGCUUCACCGAGGUCUUUCAUUGAAAAACUCUUAUUCAAGUAUCCCUUUAUGCUAUCCAGAAAUUCUACAGAAAUGCUACAGAGCUCCCACUCACUUUCUUGUAAAUACGGGCUUCUCCAAAAGUCUGUAUAAAACCAAAUGCUUUGAUCACACUAUCAAAGCAUUUAUUCCAACUCCGAGAGGCUUGCACCAGUCCAUAAAUGGAUCGCUGGAGGUUGCAUACUUUGUUAGCUCCCUUUGGAUCGACAAAACCUUCUGGUUGCAUCAUAUACAACUCUUCUUCCAGAAAUCCAUUCAGGAAUGCAGUUUUUACAUCCAUUUGCCAAAUUUCAUAAUCAUAAAAUGCAGCAAUUGCUAACAUGAUUCGGACAGACUUAAGCAUCGCUACACGUGAGAAGGUCUCAUCGUAGUCAAUCCCUUGAACUUGUCAAAAACCUUUCGCAAAAAGUCGAGCUUUAUAGACAGUAACAUUACCGUCAGCGUCAGUCUUCUUCUUGAAGAUCCAUCUAUUCUCAAUGGGUUGCCGAUCAUCAGCAAGUCAACCAAAGUCCACACUUUGUUCUCAUACAUGGAUCCCAUCUCGGAUUUCAUGUCUUCAAGCCAUUUUGCGGAAUCUGAGCUCACCAUCGCUUCUUCAUAGUUCAUAGGUUCAUCAUGGUCUAGUAACAUGACUUCCAGAAUAGGAUUACCGUACCACUCUGGUGCGGAUCUUAAUCUGGUUGAUCUAUCAGGUUUAGUAAUAACUUGAUCUGAAGUUUCAUGAUCAUCAUAAUUAACUUCCUCACUAAUUGGUGUAGGUGUCACAAGAAUCGGUUUCUGUGAUGAACUACUUUCCAAUAAGGGAGCAGGCACAGUUACCUCAUCAAGUUCUACAUUCCUCCCACUCACUUCUUUCGAGAGAAACUCCUUCUCUAGAAAGGAUCCAUUCUUAGCAACAAAAGUCUUGCCUUCGGAUCUGUGAUAGAAGGUGUACCCAACAGUCUCCUUUGGGUAUCCUAUGAAGACACAUUUCUCCGAUUUGGGUUCGAGCUUAUCAGGUUGAAGCUUUUUCAUAUAAGCAUCGCAGCCCCAAACUUUAAGAAACGACAACUUUGGUUUCUUGCCAAACCACAGUUCAUAAGGCGUCGUCUCAACGGAUUUCGAUGGUGCCCUAUUUAACAUGAAUGCAUUCGUCUCUAAAGCAUAACCCCAAAACGAUAGUGGUAAAUCAGUAAGAGACAUCAUAGAUCGCACCAUAUCUAGUAAAGUACGAUUACGACGUUCAGACACACCAUUACACUAUGGUGUUCCGGGUGGCGUGAGUUGCGAAACUAUUCUACAUUGUUUCAAAUGUAGACCAAACUCGUAACUCAAAUAUUCUCCUCCACGAUCUGAUCGUAGAAACUUUAUUUUCUUGUUACGAUGAUUUUCAACUUCACUCUGAAAUUCUUUGAACUUUUCAAAUGUUUCAGACUUAUGUUUCACUAAGUAGAUAUACCCAUAUCUGCUCAAAUCAUCUGUGAAGGUGAGAAAAUAACGAUAUCCUCCACGAGCUUCAAUAUACAUUGGACCACAUACAUUUGUAUGUAUUAUUUCCAACAAAUCUGUUGCUCUCUCCAUAGUUCUGGAGAACGGCGUUUUAGUCAUCUUGCCCAUGAGGCACAGUUCGCAAGUUGUCGUGGUUUUAUCACGGCAGAUGUCCUAUUGAAAGGACUUAGUUGUGGAGCCAUCGCUACGGGUUAGAUUGAAGGGGUUAAAGUGGACACAGGAACGCAAGAGAGUUUAUACUAGUUCGGCCCCUUCAGUGAAGGUAAAAGCCUACCUCUAGUUGUGAUGGAAUUGAUGGGUGAUUCGGUGACUAGGGAGCAAAUAAGCUUCGCCUAUGUCUCGAAUUGUUGUCUAUUGUCCCUGAACCACCGCCGGGUCGUCCCCUUAUAUACAUGGGUGACGCCUGUCGGUUCAGAGAGUCCCAACACCAGUUCAUACUCGUAUCCGGGUUGGUCUCUCCUUGUUCCUACUUAUAUUACAAGUAUAUGCACAAAGCUGAUGUACGGCUACAGGUUGUAAACCGACUACGGGCCCUGGGCCUUUAUCUGCCUCUUUGGGCUUUAACACCUUUGAACUACUGAUGGAGUUAAUCUGGCCCAGGUAGGCCGGUUUAUGCCCAGUAGUAAUAUCCCAACAUUAGGCCCCAGAUUGAUUUGAACAGGUUCAUGUCAAUCCUUAGCAAAAAUCUUCGUCUUCAACAUCUUCUUGUAGUUUUUGAACCGCCGUGACGUCAUCUUCUCUGUUUGCUGUAAACUGGCAUGACAUCAUCUGUCAUAAAGAAAACAUCCAUGCUAUCUUCUUGUUUAACAGAUUCGCAAUGACCGAGGUGACCGCCCUACUUCCAAAAUCUGUGGUCCCUUGAUUCCCGCGCCUGACACAUGUCCUUUGCCUUAUAAAUAGGCCCGAAGGGUCAUUUCUUUCCUUCCCUCCGUGCCCUUCCUCUUCGUCUUCCUCGCGUCGCCAGUCUCAGAGCUCCACCGCCGCCGUCGUCUUCUGCAUCACCCUUGGCCGCUGCAGCAACUUGAACACGCCAGAAAGCCACGGCGACCUUCCGCGUUUUCCUCAGCUCUGGUAGGUCUUCUGUUCUUCUCAACAUAGAUCUGAUCUAGGGCUUCGUGUUCUUGCGGUGUUCAUCACUUGUUCAUACUCAUGUACUAUCUCCUGGAUGCACAUGCGAACCCUUGCUUUGUGUAGCGGUAACUUUUAGUACCCACCGUUAGUUUCCUGCCCAAAACCGUAGAUCUCACAUAUACUUCUGCCCAUUGAUUCAAUAUUGUUCUGCUUUGAUCUUCGACUAUUUUUCUUAUUUUCUGAACUUGCUUCAGAUCCAAUGCCGUAACAAGACCUUGUGAAACCUGUUUCUGCAUACUUAACCAUCCGCAAUCUCAAUUGCUUCAAUGUUUAGAUCAGGCGGUUUAACCUGAUAGAAAAUUUUCCAAACCGGUAUAUGCCAUUAGUCCCCUUGUUGAACCGCCAUAUGUUGUUGCUUCAUAAAACUCCGGUUUAGAUAGAUCUGCUUCCGGUUUAACGUUGCACAUAUCAAUAUACCUUGUAGAUUUCAUCAUGGCCAAGCAAGUGUAUGAGUGCAACUUGGUCCCUUCUCGCGUCACAGAGGAUCAACUGGAGGAUUUAGUCCUGAUUGGCGCCUUGGGCAGCAAAGACACCAUCCAUUGGAGGGCUCCUGGCAAAGAAUUCCCCCCCACACCUCGAGAAGGAGAGGUUGUUGUCUUCGUAGACCACUUAGCCCGGGGUUUUAAACCGCCCGGUUCUAAAUUUUACCGGGAUGUUCUAGCUGAUUUCCAACUCCAUCCGCAAGACACUGGCCCCGACUCUGUUACAAAUAUGUGCCACUUCCAAGUGCUCUGUGAGGUGUUCUUUCAAGAGGAGCCCACGGUGGAAUUAUUCAGAGAUCUUUUCCAUCUAAACCGCCGUACUGAGUUUACUGAUGGCUCUAAUACGAAGUUGGGUGGCAUGGCGAUUCAAAAAAGGAAAGAGGUCACAUACCCUCACGCCAAGCUGCACAGUCACCCCAAGGAGUGGAAUCAGACAUGGUUCUACUGCAAAGAUACCUCCCCUGCUGGUGAGAAUCGCUUCCCUGGUUUUUGUCCGGAGCGGCUCAGCAAUACCCAUCCUUUUCCUCAAUGAUUGACUGCCCAGGAGAGAAGCAAAUAUGCUCCCCAGCUGUCAAAGCUCAGAGCCUUUAUGGCCAACGGUUUAACAGGGGUUGACCUUGCUCGUUGUUGGAUAUCAUGGAGCAUACUGCCCCUUAGUCAGCGCUCCGGUUUGAUGUGCGAAUAUACUGAUAGUGUGGAUGACCCACUGCGACAUUCAAGACUCCAGCUGUCCGGUGAAGAAAUCACAGAGGCUGUGCGUAAGAUACUGAAUGAACCGGAGCACAUCUGCGCUAGAACCAGCCUGCUUCCCUUCUGCGCCACCAACAAACCGCCAGUUGUAAGACAUUGAUUUUUCUCUUUGCUGAAUCUGUUAUCGAUAUGUCUGGCCAUUGAUUCUAAUAUCAGUGUCUGCAUAAUCAGGGUGAUGACCCGUUUUGGAGCAAAAAGCUGUCGCAGGAGAAACCAGAGAAAACAGAUAAACCGGAAAGGGCAACCCGGCAAAAAACUAAAGCUGUGAAGAAGACUACCCACCGGAAAAGAACCACUGCAUCUUCUAAUCCGGCCCCUGAUGACAAGGUGGAUAAUCCGGACUUUGAGGUAGAGCUUGACUCACUUGGUUUAUUUUUCAUGCAUCUUAUUGAUGAUGAUAUUUGUCAGGAUGAUGCUGAAGCCAGCCAUGCGGAUGUUGUAGAGGUAAUUAUUCUCUCUUCCGAUUCAGAAACUUUGCCUUCACAAAAAAUCCAUCAGGCAAACUAGAAAGUUAAAUUUUCUCAUCCUCUUGCUUAUUUGGAUCCUAAACUUCUUAUGAAGACUCAACAACACAAAGCUCGCCGCACCACCCGGCACAGCGGCCAGGUAGUUACUUCUGCCGGUUUACCGAACAGUCCGGUUCGGAAACGUCAUUCCGAGGUCUCUAAUUCACUUGUCAAUACUUGUCCUAAAGCGGGCUGCUUUCGUCAACCUCUUAAUCCGGCUGACUCCGAUUAUCAGGCUAUUUCCCACUCAUCUUCUGGCGAGUCGUCGGCUACUCAGCUCCCACCGCUCAAAACGGUGCUUGGGUAAGCUAUAUUUAUUGUGAUGUUUGCAGUAUAUUGCCUUAGAACAUAUGUUGUAUUUAAUUUUGUUAUUUUUCUCAGGGCCAAACCUAGGCCGAGCAAGAAGGCCCGCCUGGAUAAAGCGGUCGAAGAAGAUGUCAUUCUUGAACCAGGCACAACACCCAAUCUUGAAGCGGCUAUUCCUGAGGAUAUUCCCAAUGAUCCACCGCAGCCAGAUGAUGAUCUUACUGCUGAGGAAAGACCUACUAAUACCUCAGGUCCUAUCCAUCAGCCCACAGGUUCCCUCCGGGUUGAAAGCUCCACCGGUCUCGCAAAACCUACUGACAAGCCAACAGCUCCAGUGCAAACCGGCGGUACGAAUGAUGAUGAAGUUGUCAUUACUGGCACUGGCCAUACUGAGCCAAGCAACCCUGUCGCUUUAUCCAAACAUUCUGCCAAGGAGGAAUUAGCUGCUUUUGGCAAAGGCAAGUGGAAUGCUGAUCUGACGGCUUACGCUGCUCUGAACGCCCGAGAUAUCCAUUCUGUCUAUCUGAACCGGCUGUAUACCAGCCGUGACUAUGAAGUCGGUCUGGUUAAUAUGAUGAAGGAUAAAUAUGAGGUAACUUCCAUAUGCUCCUUCUUGCUUGUAUGCUUUCAUUCUUGUUGACUCUCCUAGCCCCUAAGGGCCGAUUUGAAAUAUUCUUUCAAACCGGGACUUAAUACUAUGAAUCUUGAUGCUUUGAAAUUUGCUAAUGUAGUCCCCAAGGGCCGGUUCAACUUAGCGUAGUUAAACCGGUACUUUAAGUAAAUGAAACUGCCGCAUCAGAAUACAUAUGAUCAAAUAGCCAUUAGCCCCCAAGUGCCAAGUUGAAUACUUGUAUUGAGCUUGGGACUUUGUAAACAAUUGAAAGAUGAAGAUCGAAUAUGCAUUAGCCCCCAAGUGCCAAGUUGAAUACUUUUAUUGAACUUGGGACUUUGUAAACCAUUGAAAGAUGAAGAUCGAAUAUGCAUUAGCCCCCAAGUGUUAAGCACAUAACUUGUUAUGUGGUUGGCACUUGAAUCCUUCUACCAAUUUGUUGAAGCAUAUAUCUAUAUGCAUGCAGGCGGAGCUAAAGACGAAAGAGAACCAAGUCAUCGAUCUUCAAGAAGCCCUGAAAACCCAACAAGCUGAAACCUCCAAAGCAAAAGAGGAAUUGGCCAGUGCUUUAAGCGCCAUGGAACAACUUAAGGAAAACUUCAAAAAGAAACGGGCGGACUGGGCCACUGAGAAAUCCGCUUUGAUCAAACGAGUAGAGGAUGCUGAGGCUGCACUAAAACCAGUGGCAGAUGAACUGACCAGCAUAAAGCGGCACGUGCAUGCCAUGACUGCUGCUAUCUUUGGUAAGCCAGUUUUCCUACUGAAUUGGCUCUGCCUUCUGACAAAGUCGCCGGUUUAUUAACCCUUUAUGGUAUUUCAGGGACACGCAUUGGUCACUUGGGGUCAGAUGUACGGAAGAAGCUAAAAGCCGCCUAUACAUUGGUUGAACAAUUGUAUACUGGUGCCCAGCGGAUCAUCUGUACCGCCUCUCAUAACAAACCGGUGCCUACUUUGAUUCAAGAUACUCUGAUGAAACUGUCAGUGCUUCCUGCCCGGAUUGAAGAGCUAAAGAAAUCUGCUGCUCAAACCGGCGCAAUCAAUGCUUUAAUCCGGGCAAAAGCCUGGGUGCCGGAUUUUGAUCCUGUUGAAGCGGCUCAGGGCUAUCCCAGCUUGAAAGAAGACGGAUUAGAAUUCGGUGAAGCGGAUCUGCGAGCGAUAAACCGGGAGGUGCGUCCACUAGCUUGUCAGUUGGCUGAGGAAGCAGACUUGUCUCGUUAUCAAGCGCAAUAUGACAGUCAGAACAAGCGAAUAGCUGCGCCAAUCCAUGAAUCAUAAAAUCUGAUUCCUCCAAUCCGUAAGCAUACUUACGCUCCCGAUAUUGACCCGUCCUUGCUGAUCCACGAUGAAGCUAUUUUUCAAGCAUUAAUGGGAAUCGACUGGACAACUGUGGAUUUCCAGCCACUGGGUAGGGAUACGGAGGCUGAAGCGGCGCAGGACGACCUACAACCAUCAGGCCAGGCUGGUGACCAAGCUUGAACCGGAUGCCGGUUUAAAACUGCCUCUUCUUCGCGAAAAACAAUUAUAUUAUUAUGGGCACCAUGUUGCCUUGUAAUAGGCUAGCUGAUACCUUUGAUGUUGAUAUGCCUUCGUGCAUAAUUUGUUCUUCCUGUGGCAAUGAACUUUCCAAAAUACUUUCUGAAAUGAAAAAUUCGUCAAGUGCCACCGCGGUUGUACCGUCAGGCGGAAUAUGAUGUCUGCAUAUAUGAAAUCAGAACAAAAUUUGAAGUAUGACCAAAUUUCGAGAUACAUAAUACCUACCGUCAUUGAGCGUGAAGUUGGCUUGGCCAAUCUUGAAGCGGAGUUUUGCAAACCCAUACUGUUGGAGGAGAUAACAGCUCCUGUAUAUAUAUAUGACGCUGGUUUACCAUGUAAACCAUGCCGGGUUAUGAUAAACACCGUGUUACUCCAUAAGAGGAUGUUAACAACAAGGAUCAAACCGGACAAAUAGUCUCCGGAUUGACGUGAACUGUGUUCCGUCAAUUGAUUGGUUAAAAAACUUUGUUGGUUUAAAGAACACAAUAAAAAGAAAAAAAAACCUUUAAAUAAAAGUAUGAAGCAAAAGCAACGACAAAAACGUUUGCCAAAAAAGAUUUAUUUAAGCUGAUCAAAUGGCGUAACCAUGGCUAAACACGACCAAGCUCCCGUUAGGUGUAACUAUGGUUCUAGUUAGCCAGGUCCCCAAGUGAUUCUUGUGGCAUUUAUGCCAACCAAAUGGCGUGGUCAUGGUUCGGGUUCGACCAAGCCCCCAAGUGAUUCUGUGGCCUUAGGCCGAUCAAGAGGCAUGACUGGUUCAGACAUGACCAAGUCCCCAAGUGAUCUGGUGGCUUUCGCCUAUCAAGAGACGUGGUAUUGGUUCGGACACGACCAAUCCUCCAAGUGAUAUAACACGAUGCUUUUAGCAAAGCGAACUCAAGGGGUAAACCGGAGGCCGUUUUAGAGCAACUCCGUGUAACCUCACAUGAUGUAAAAGAACAGAUACCCCGCUUUAGCUGAGGUUCUGGUUUAUUAUACUUAAUCAUAAUAUAUACAUUGUAUGUACAUAAGUAUAGCCAAUGGCUCAGGUAUAGUAAGGCCGAAGAUGAGCUAUAUUCCAUGGCCUGUUAGUCUCUUCCCCUGAUGCACGUGAGUCCUUAUGCUCUCGAAUAUCGAUCAGAUAGUACGACCCGUUGUGCAGAUUCUUGCUGACCACGAAAGGCCCCUCCCAAGGUGGGGAUAGCUUAUGCAUAUUGGUCUGAUCUUGGAUGAGCCGAAGCACCAAAUCUCCUUCCUGGAAGGCUCUGGUUCUAACUCGGCGACUGUGAUAACAACGAAGAUCCUGCUGGUAAAUCGCCGACCGGGCGGCUGCAAUGUCACGCUCUUCAUCCAACCGGUCCAAAGCAUCUUGCCAUGCUGUCUCGUUGUCCGCUUCAACAUAAGCCGUGACACGAGGUGAGUCAUGACGGAUAUCGCUGGGGAGAACCGCCUCCGCUCCAUAAACCAUGAAGAACGGUGUGUAUCCUGUUGAUCUGUUGGGUGUUGUAUUGAUGCUCCAUAACACAGAUGGUAAUUCUUCUACCCAACAACCCGGCGUUCUCUGCAAAGGAACCAUGAGCCGGGGCUUGAUGCCUCUCAAGAUCUCUUGAUUAGCUCUUUCUGCUUGACCAUUGGACUGUGGAUGUGCCACUGAUGAAACGUCGAGCCGGAUGUGCUCCCGUUCGCAGAACUCCUUCAUAACACCUUUGGAUAAAUUGGUACCAUUAUCUGUGAUAAUACUAUGCGGAAAGCCAAACCGGAAAAUCACCUUUUUGAUGAACUGAACAGCCGUGGCCGCAUCACACUUGCUAACAGGUUCUGCCUCCACCCACUUUGUAAACUUGUCCACCGCCACCAGGAGGUGGGUCUUCUUAUCUUUGGACCUUUUGAAAGGCCCAACCAUAUCCAGCCCCCAAGUCGCAAAUGGCCAAGUAAUUGGAAUCAUCCUGAAUUCUUGAGCCGGUACAUGAGCGCGUCUUGAAAACUUUUGGCAACCAUCACAUCGUCUGACCAGAUCCUUCGCAUCAGCAUGAGCAGUUAACCAAUAGAAACCAUAGCGAAACGCUUUAGCCGCCAGAGACUUUGAACCGGCAUGGUGACCACAAUAUCCUUCGUGGAUCUCCCGCAAAAUUUCACGGCCUUCUUCAGGAGACACGCAACGUUGAAAAGCUCCUGAUACACUGCAAUGAUGCAACUCACCAUUGAUGACAGCCAUGGACUUGGAUCGCCGGAUUAUCUGCCGGGCCAGAAUCUCAUCUUCUGGCAACUCGCCCCGGUUCUUGUACGCCAGAUAAGGAAGCGUCCAAUUCGGAAUAACAUGAAGAACUGCCACCAAUUGAGCCUCCGGAUCAAGAAUGGCCAAAUCCUCUUCACCAGGGAUCUUCACCGACGGGUUGUGCAGCACAUCCAGAAAAACAUUGGGUGGGACCGGUUUGCGCUGAGAGCCCAGCCGGCUUAAAGCGUCCGCCGCUUCAUUUUUCCGCCGGUCCAUGUGGUCCACCUGAUAGCCUCUGAAAUAACCUGCAACAAUAUCCACCUCACGACGAUAUGCUGCCAUGAGUGGGUCCUUGGAGUCCCAAGUGCCAGACACUUGCUGAGCCACAAGGUCCGAAUCACCGAAGCACUUAACUCGACUUAGACUCAUCUCCUUAGCCAUCCGAAGACCAUGGAGCAAGGCUUCAUACUCAGCUGCAUUGUUAGUACAAGGGAACAUUAAACGGAGAACAUAACAAAACUUAUCACCUCAUGGGGAAGUUAAUACGACUCCAGCCCCCGAGCCUUCCAACUGCCUGGAUCCGUCAAAAUGGAUGGUCCAAUACGUAUGAUCCGGCUUUUCUUCAGGUGCUUGCAUUUCCGUCCAAUCAUUGAUGAAAUCAACAAGUGCUUGAGACUUAAUCGCUGUCCGAGGCACAUAUUUCAAACCGUAUGGCCCCAGCUCUAUAGCCCACUUUGCAAUCCGGCCAGUUGCUUCCCGGUUCUAGAUGAUAUCUCCCAAAGGAGCAGAACUGACCACCGUAAUUGGGUUCCCUUGGAAGUAUUGCUUAAGCUUCCGGCUUGCCAUAAAAACUCCAUACACCAGCUUCUGCCAAUGGGGAUACCUUUGCUUGGACUCAAUGAGCACCUCACUGAUAUAAUAGACCGGACGUUGAACCGGAUGCUCCUUACCUGCCUCCUUUCGUUCCACCACAAUAGCCACGCUGACCGCACGAGCAUUAGCAGCAACAUAUAGCAGUAACGGCUCCUUGUCAAUGGGAGCGGCGAGCACAGGCGGAUUGGCCAAUUGCCGCUUUAAGUCCUCAAAUGCUUCAUCAGCAGCAGAACUCCAGACGAAUUGAUCCGUCUUCUUCAACAUCUGAUACAAAGGGAUCGCCUUCUCACCCAGGCGGCUGAUAAACCGGCUUAACGCGGCAAUCCGGCAUGCCAGGCGUUGAACAUCAUUGGUACACUUCGGUUUAUCCAGGGAGGUGAUGGCUGUGAUCUUCUCCGGAUUAGCCUCAAUUCCCCUGUUGGACACCAGAAAGCCCAAUAACUUGCCCGCCGGUACACCAAAGACACACUUGUCCGGAUUAAGCAUCAUCUUGUACGUCAUUAGGUUAUCAAAGGUUUCCUUCAAAUUGUCAACCAGAGUCUCCUUCUCCCUGGAUUUAACCACGAUAUCAUCCAUGUAAGCAUGUACAUUACGGCCAAUCUGCUUGUGAAGACAAUUUUGUACACACCGUUGAUAAGUUGCCUGGGCACUUUUGAGCCCAAAGGGCAUAGACACAUAGCAGAAGGCUCCAAAGGGAGUUAUGAAUGCCGUCUUCUCCUGGUCCUUAACUGGCAUUUUGAUCUGAUGAUAACCAGAAUAUGCAUCCAAAAAACUUAAAUGCUCACAACCCGCCGUAGCAUCAAUGAUUUGAUCAAUACGGGGGAGGGCAAAAGGAUCUGCUGGACAAGCUUUAUUAAGAUCUGUGUAGUCCACACACAUACGCCAGGUGCUGUUUUUCUUAAGGACUAGCACCGGAUUCGCAAGCCACUCAGGGUGAAAAACUUCAACAAUAAAACCAGCUGCUAAGAGCCUGGCUACCUCUUCCCCAAUCGCCUUGCGUCUUUCUUCGUUAAACCGGCGGAGGAACUAUUUCACCGGUUUGUAUUUAGGAUCCACAUUAAGUGUGUGCUCAGCGAGUUGCCUCGGUACACCUGGCAUGUCAGAGGGCUUCCAUGCAAAAAUGUCCCGAUUCUCACGGAUGAACUCGAUGAGCACACUUUCCUAUUGCGGAUCCAAGUUGGCACUAAUGCUGAACUGCUUGGACGAAUCGCCAGGCACGAAGUCAACAAGCUUAGUUUCUGCUGCCGAUUUGAACUUCAGGGCCGGAUCAUGCUCCGUAGUUGGCUUCUUCAACGGAGUCAUGUCUGCCGGAUCAACAUUGUCUUUAUAGUACUUCAACUCCUCGGUGGCACAAACCGACUCUGCAUAAGCCGCAUCUCCUUCCUCGCAUUCCAAAGCGAUUUUGCGGCUUCCGUGAACCGUUAUUAUCCCCUUGUGACCCGGCAUCUUGAGCUGCAAAUACACAUAACAGGGCCGAGCCAUAAACUUGGCGUAUGCCGGACGCCCAAACUGGGCAUGAUAUGGACUUUGGAAUUUCACCACUUCAAACGUUAAUGUCUCCAAUCUAGAAUCAUGAUCAUCCCCAAAGGCCACUUCAAGAGCUAUCUUACCAACGGGAUAUGCUGAUCUGCCAGGCACUACACCGUGGAAUACUGUAUUGGACAGUUUGAGAUUCUUAUCUGUAAGUCCCAUACGACGGAAGGUCUCAUAGUAUAGGAUGUUAAUGUUGCUCCCUACAUCCAUGAGCACUUUGGUGAACUUAUAACCUCCCACCUGAGGCGCCACCACCAGAGCCAACUGACCCGGAUUAUCGACCUGGAGUGGGUGAUCCUUUCUGCUCCAUAUGAUUGGCUGUUCAGACCAACAUAGAUAACGGGGUGUGGCCGGUUCAACAGAGUUGACUGCCCGCCUUUGAACCUUCCGGUCUCGCUUGUCCAAGCUAGUGGUAAAGACAUGGUACUGCCCACUACUCAACUGCUUUGGGUUGCUUUGGUAACCUGACUGUUGCUGCUGUUGGUUGUGACCAUCCUGGUUGUUUUGACUAUUUUAACCAUUAUGUCCGCCCGGAUUACCAUUAAAUCCUGAACCAGAACUUCCUCCACCGUAACCCGGCCCGGAUCCUGAGCCGCCGCCAGAUCCGUGAUCAUACCGGAAAUUAUUAGAAUUCUUGAACUCCUGCAUAAUAAAACAAUCCUUCCAAAGGUGGUUUGUUGGCUCCUCCUUCGUCCCAUGUUUUGGACAGGGCUGGUUUAGCAAAUAGUUCAGGCGGUUUGGGUUGGGGUUGGGCGCUCCACUACAAUUUUUCGGCCUGCCCUUGCGCCGCUGGCCAUUGUCCUGUACGUUGGUAUUAGCCACAAAAUCCAAGUUGCCAUCCGCUUUACGCUUGCCUCCUCCGCCAUUGCCUACCCAGUGAUGUUGCUGACCUUUGGAGCUGCUGUUCUUCUUCCCCUUCCCUGUCUUGUCAUCAUCAGACUCGGGAUCCUUGGUACUAUCAGAAUCAGCAUAUUUUACCAAAGCGGCCAUGAGGGUUCGCAUGUCGGUGCAAUGAUGCUUCAUUCGUCCCAAUUUCAACUUCAGGGGCCCAAACCGACAGUUGCCUUCUAGGGUUAAUACUGCGGUGUCAGCGUUGAUGUGGUCUGAGGAGUGCAACACUUGUGAAACCCGGCACACCCAAUGAGUCGUUGACUCUCCUUCCUCUUGGACGCAUGCAGCUAAGUCCACUAUCGACAUAGGCUGUUUACAGGUAUCCUUGAAAUUGUUGAUAAACCGGGCUCGUAAUUGGGCCCACGAGAUGAUAGAAUUAGCGGGCAAGCUUUUUAGCCAAGUACGGGCCAUUCCUUCAAGCAUCAUGGUGAAGUAUUUCGCACACGCCGUGUCAUCCACAUCAAGCAUCUCCAUGGCCAUCUCAUAGCUCUCUACCCAUGUCUCUGGUGGUUGAUCCGCCGUAUAAUUUGGUACCUUGCGUGGGCCUUUUAAAUCCUUGGGCAAACACACGUUGCGUAAAGCGGGGACGAGGCAAGGCACCCCCAAAGAACUAGAAGUAACACCAGGUUCGAUCGAAAUGGUUGGACGAACCGGCGUGAGCUGCCGAGCCUGAUGCUGUGCGGCUAACUCGGCCUCCCUACGCACUCGGGCCCGGUUCACCACUUCCUGAGCGUCAUCAGCACCACCCGUCGGGUUGUUACCACGGGUGCUCCACUUCGUUCAUUACUCGAUACUGCCGGUUCAUCCAUAUGUCUUCUAUAGCUCCGGCUCGGACGGGGGGUCGAGUGGAUUCGGUCGCGGCUGUACGAGUACGCCUCCUGUUGGGCCAAAGCUGUCCUCAGAAGUUCCUUGACCCGUCGCGUCUCUACUGCUUGCGGCGAGUCACCUUCAACUGGAAUGGCCUCCAGUCGUGCAGCAGCGGCAACAAGAUUGUCCAUUGGGUUGGAGUAGUGACCCGGAGGUGUUAAAGCAUCCCGAGGUAUAACGGUGUUUUGACGAGGCGGGUCGAUCUGACGAGGCUGAACCGGUGCACCGGUCCCAGGGGCUUCUGCCCGGUUCCCCUCCAGCGGAUUUCUGGCUCUUGGCCCUGGAGUGUUGAAAAGGUCUCUGGCCUCGAAAACCGGAGGUAAGCGGGAUCGAUGCUUCCUUCUCAUGACUUCAUGUGAUGCGCUCUGGUCUAACAUAAGCCUGUAGGCCUGUGCGUCUAAAGCAGCCCACUCUGCGGCCAUCCUGGUGUCCUCAGCCGUCAGAUCUGCCUUGGCAUGGGUGAUUUGUUCCUUUACCUUUGCAAUCUCCGUAUUGUGAACGUCCUGAUCUGGCGGAUUAACUUCCGCCAUAAGCACAGCCAACGCAUCAAAUAGCUCUGAUAGAACCUGAGCCGGCGGGCGCACAGGGCCUCCUGCCCCGGCGGCCAUUGCUGCUGCUAAACCGGAAAUCGUUGCCGCAGUUGUCGAAGAAUGAAGCGCUGCUUGUGUUCCGGCCAUGAAUAUUCCAACCCGGUUGGGCGGAUCAGAGGGGUCCGGAAUACUGUCGCCAUCGGAAUAGCUCCCAAUCCGGCCAUCUUGUAGCUGAUAAAGAGAUUCGGUUUCUCCGGUCGAAGAUUUGUCACCGGAACGAACGGCAGUCGCCCCGCGAAGCUCCGAUCCAUCCUCAUAACUCCCUCCAUGGAUCAUUCCCACGAAGGCACGCUUCAUGGCCGGUUUAACCCGGGCGGAUCGCGUACGCUGAGCCGUCUCAACGAGGUCGGUGCAGAUGUCCGGCUCAGGGCCCGGUUCACCGAUCUUGCCAAUGAAAACAUGAAUGCUACCAAAGGGGACCUGGUACCCGUACUCAAUUGAGCCGGCCUCGGGGCCCCAGCCUGCGUCGUCGGUGUAGAGUUUGCCGCGACGACUCUUAGUCAUCCGGCCUAUAGCGUGGCCCUCGAGUCCUUCAAAGCGGCCCUCCAAGAACCGGAAACCAUCAUGCGAUAGCCCCAUGGUGGGUGCCAACUGUCGUGGUUUUGUCACGGUAGAUGUCCUAUUGAAAGGACUUAGUUGUGGAGCCAUCGCUACGGGUUAGCUUGAAGGGGUUAAAGCGGACACAAGAACGCAAGAGAGUUUAUACUAGUUCGGCCCCUUCAAUGAAGGUAAAAGCCUACCUCUAGUUGUGAUGGAAUUGAUGGGUGUUUCGAUGACUAGGGAGCAAAUAAGGUUCGCCUAUGUCUCGAAUUGUUGUCUGUUGUCCCUGAACCACCGCCGGGUCGUCCCCUUAUAUACAUGGGUGACGCCUGCCGGUUCAGAGAGUCCCAACACCGGUUCAUACUCGUAUCUGAGUUGGUCUCUCCUUGUUCCUAACUUAUAUUACAAGUAUAUGCACAAAGCUGACGUACGUCUACAGGUUGUAAACCGACUACGGGCCCUGGGCCUUUAUCUACCUCUUUGGGCUUUAACACCUUUGAACUACUGAUGGAGUUAAUCCGGCCCAGGUAGGCCGGUUUAUGCCCAGUAGUAAUAUCCCCAACACAAGUACCAAGUGAUUCAUAAUCAAGUGGUUCCAAAAGUCCAUCCGAAUGGAGUUUCUUCAUGCGCUUUACACCGAUAUGACCUAAAUGGCAGUGCCACAAAUAAGUUGCACUAUCAUUAUCAACUCUGCAUCUUUUGGCUUCAACAUUAUGAAUAUGUGUAUCACUACUAUCGAGAUUCAUCAAAAAUAGACCACUCUUCAAGGGUGCAUGACCAUAAAAGAUAUUACUCAUAUAAAUAGAAAAACCAUUAUUCUCUGAUUUAAAUGAAUAACCGUCUCACAUCAAACAAAUCCAGAUAUAAUGUUCAUGCUCAACGCUGGCACCAAAUAACAAUUAUUUAGGUCUAAUACUAAUCCCGAAGGUAGAUGUAGAGGUAGUGUGCCGACGGGGAUCACAUCGACUUUGGAACCGUUUCCCACGCGCAUUGUCAUCUCGUCCUUGGCCAGUGUUCGCUUAAUCCGUAGUCCCUGUUUCGAGUUGCAAAUAUUAGCAACAUAACCAGUAUCAAAUCCCCAGGUGCUACUGCGAGCUCUGGUAAGGUACACAUCAAUAACAUGUAUAUCACAUAUACCUUUGUUCACCUUGCCAUCCUUCUUAUCCGCCAAAUACUUGGGGCAGUUCCGCUUCCUGUGACCAGUCUGCUUGCAGUAGAAGCACUCAGUCUCAGGCUUAGGUCCAGACUUGGGUUUCUUCUCUUGAGCAGCAACUUGUUUGUGGUUCUUCUUCAAGUUCCCCUUCUUCUUCCCUUUGCCCUUUUUCUUGAAACUGGUGGUCUUAUUGACCAUCAACACUUGAUGCUCCUUCUUGAUUUCUACCUCUGCAGCCUUUAGCAUUGCGAAGAGCUCGGGAAUCGUCUUAUCCAUCCCUUGCAUGUUAUAGUUCAUCACGAAGCUCUUGUAGCUUGGUGGCAGUGAUUGAAGAACUCUGUCAAUGAUACUAUCAACAGGAAGAUUAACUCCCAGUUGAGUCAAGUGAUUAUGAUACCCAGACAUUUUGAGUAUAUGUUCACUGAUAGAACUAUUCUCCUCCAUCUUGCAGCUGCAGAACUUAUUUGAGACUUCAUAUCUCUCAAUCCGGGCAUUUGCUUGAAAUAUUAACUUGAACUCCUAGAACAUCUCAUAUGCUCCAUGACGUUCAAAACGUCGUUGAAAUCCUGGUUCUAAGCCGUAAAGCAUGGCACACUGAACUAUCGAGUAGUCAUCAGCUUUACUCUGACAAACGUUCUUAACGUUGUCAGCAGCAUCUGCAGCGGGCCUGGCACCCAGCGGUGCUUCCAGGACGUAAUUCUUUUGUGCAACAAUGAGGAUAAUCCUCAAGUUACGGACCCAGUCCGUGUAAUUGCUACCAUCAUCUUUCAACUUUGCUUUCUCAAGGAACGCAUUAAAAUUCAACGGAACAACAGCACGGGCCAUCUAUCUACAAUCAACAUAGACAAGCAAGAUACUAUCAUGUACUAAGUCCAUGAUAAAUUUAAGUUCAAUUAAUCAUAUUACUUAAGAACUCCCACUUAGAUAGACAUCCCUCUAAUCCUCUAAGUGAUCAUGUGAUCCAUAUCAACUAAACCAUAACCGAUCAUCACGUGAAAUGGAGUAGCUUUCAAUGGUGAACAUCACUGUGUUGAUCAUAUCUACUAUAUGAUUCACGCUCGACCUUUCGAUCUCAGUGUUCCGAGGCCAUAUCUGCAUAUGCUAGGCUCGUCAAGUUUAACCUGAUAUUCUGCGUGUGCAAAACUGGCUUGCACCCGUUGUAGAUGGAAGUAGAGCUUAUCACACCCGAUCAUCACGUGGUGUCUGGGAAAGACGAACUUUGGCAACGGUGCAUACUCAGGGAGAACACUUUUAUCUUGAAAUUUAAUGAGAGAUCAUCUUAUAAUGCUGCCGUCAAUCAAAGCAAGAUAAGAUGGAUAAAAGAUAAAUAUCACAUGCAAUCAAUAUAAGUGAUAUGAUAUGGUCAUCAUCAUCUCGUGCUUGUGAUCUCCAUCUCCGAAGCACCGUCAUGAUCACCAUCGUCACCGGCGCGACACCUUGAUCUCCAUCGUAGCAUCGUUGUCGUCUCGCCAAUCUUAUGCUUCUACGACUAUCGCUACCGCUUAGUGAUAAAGUAAAGCAUUACAGGGCGAUUGCAUUGCAUACAAUAAAGCGACAACCAUAUGGCUCCUGCCAGUUGCCGAUAACUCGAUUACAAAACAUGAUCAUCUCAUACACUAAAAUUUAGCAUCAUGUCUUGACCAUAUCACAUCACAUCAUGCCCUGCAAAAACAACUUAGACGUCCUCUACUUUGUUGUUGCAAGUUUUACGUGGCUGCUACUGGGCUUAGCAAGAACUGUUCUUACCUACGCAUCAAAACCACAACGAUAGUUCGUCAAGUUGGUGCUGUUUUAACCUUCGCAAGGACCGGGCGUAGCCAUACUCGGUUCAACUAAAGUUGGAGAAACUGACACCCACCAGCCACCUGUGUUCAAAGCACGUUAGUAGAACCAGUCUCGCGUAAGCGUACGCGUAAUGUCGGUCCGGGCCGCUUCAUCCAACAAUACCGCCGAACUAAAGUAUGACAUGCUAGUAAGCAGUAUGACUUAUAUCGCCCACAACUCAUUUGUGUUCUACUCGUGUAUAUGACAUCUACGCAUAAAACCUGGCUCGGAUGCCAUUGUUGCGGAACGUAGUAAUUUCAAAAAAAUUCCUAUGCACACGCAUGAUCAUGGUGAUGCAUAGCAACGAGAGGGGAGAGUGUUGUCUACGUACCCUCAUAGACCGUUCGCGGAAGCGUUAUAUCAACGCGGUUGAUGUAGUCGUACGUCUUCAUGAUCCGACUGAUCCAAGUACCGAAAGCACGGCACCUCCGAGUUCUGCACAUGUUCGGCUCGGUGACGUCCUCGCCUUCUCGAUCCAGCAAGAGGUGCGAAGUAGUAGAUGAGUUCCGGCAGUACGACGGCGUGGUGACGGUGUUGGUGAAGAACAAUCUCCGCAGGGCUUCGCCUAAGCACUACGAAAACUAUGACAGAGGAUAAAUAACUAGAGGGGACGGGGUUGCUAGCACACGGCUUGGUGUUUCUUGAUGUCUUGGGUGCUAGCCCUACCCCUCUAUUUAUAUGUUGAGCCUUGGGGUCGAAACUUGGAGUAAAAGUCUCCACAAAGUCGGUUUCACCCGAAAGGCAAGAGUCCUUCUCGGACUCCAGGGCCAGACGCGUCUGGACCCAGACGCCAGGGACCCUGGCGUCUGGCCCCUGGACUAUGCAAAACUUCCUUUUGCGCUUUUCAAAAACCUUGUGGGCUUUCCCCUUUGGCCCAAAUAAAGUGUUCUCGUACCCAAACAUUUCGGGAAACAUCUGGAACCCCUUUCGGUGAAUUCCGGAACCCAUCUAGUGACCAAACACUAUUAUCUCAUAUAUCAAACUUUAUCUUCGGACCAUUCCGGAGUUCCCUGUCAUGUCCGUGAUCUCAUUCCGGACUCCGAACAACAUUCGGUCACCAACAUACAUAACUCAUAUAGUACUAUAUCGUCAAUGAACGUUAAGCGUGCGGACCCUACGGGUUCGAGAACUAUGUAGACAUGACUGAGACACCUCUCUAGUCAAUAACCAAUAGCGGUACCUGGAUGCCCAUAUUGGCUCCUAUAUAUUCUACGAAGAUCUUUAUCGGUCAGACCGCAUAACAACAUACGUUGUUCCCUUUGUCAUCAGUAUGUUACUUGCCCUCGAUUCGUUCGUCGGUAUCUCAAUACCUAGUUUAAUCUCGUUACCAGCAAGUCUCUUUACUCGUUCCGUAAUACAUCAUCCCACAACUAACUCAUUAGUUGCAAUGCUUGCAAGGCUUAUAGUGAUGUGCAUUACCGAGUGGGCCAAGAGAUAUCUCUCCUACAAUCGGAGUGACAAAUCCUAAUCUCGAAAUACGCCAACCCAACAAGUACCUUCGGAGACACCUGUAGAGCACCUUUAUAAUCACCCAGUUACGUUGUGACGUUUGGUGACAGACAAAGUGUUCCUCCGGUAAACGGGAGUUGCAUAAUCUCAUAGUCAUAGGAACAUGUAUAAGUCAUGAAGAAAGCAAUAGCAACAAACUAAACGAUCAUUGUGUUAAGCUAACGGAUGGGUCAAGUCAAUCACAUCAUUCUCUAAUGAUUUGAUCCCGUUAAUCAAAUGACAACUCAUGUCUAUGGUUAGGAAACAUAACCAUCAUUGAUUCAACAAGCUAGUCAAGUAGAGGCAUACUAGUGACACUCUGUUUGUCUAUGUAUUCACACAAGUAUUAUGUUUCCGGUUAAUAUAAUUCUAGCAUGAAUAAUAAACAUUUAUCAUGAUAUAAGGAAAUAAAUAAUAACUUUAUUAUUGCCUCUAGGGCAUAUUUUCUUCAAGGCGUGGUGCCAGAUUCCUCCGUCGUUGUCGAUGUUGUCAUCGCCUCUGAUGUCAUGGCAGAGCCCCAGGUAUGUCGCCGCCAGUAUCGUUAGGUUUCCGAGGGCUGAGAGAGCAACAAGGAAGGGAAGGGAAGGGAAGGGAAUGAGGCGAAGGACAAUCUCGGGUGGAUAGGGCUUGCCUGGUACCCAAGGUACCAGAUCAAGAGAAAGCUGACUGAAGGGAGAUGUCGUCACGCCUCGGAUACGGGAAUAUCAUCCCGGCGGCGGCCGGACCUAGGGCAGACGCCGCCAGAGAGGUCGCGACUCAUGAGAGGAAAAAUCGUGCAGUGCCGCCUGCUUCGCGUUCCCUAAAAGACCGAGGUUGGCCAGUUAACCAGAGAAUGCCAAUUUUGUUACGGGAGCGGCGGCCCAUUCCCAUUCGCGGAAACUGUUACGCUCAGAGGUUGAUCCAACGGCCCAAAAUUGAUAUGACUAUCGAUCCAACGACCGAAAACACUGAUGGCCUUAGAGGGCUGGAACAGUGCUAGGUUGUAAUGUGUCUAAAAAUAAAUAACUGAAAUGGGAAAAGCCCAUGUAACCACUUGGUUUUUUACAAACCAACCGCUUAACUUCUUGAGAUCUAAAACCAGGUAUCUAACCCCCUCAUCUUUCUCAAACCAUGUGAAUCGGCUCUUAAAACAAUCUUAGAGUGGAUUAUGUAGGCGGCAUUGUAGGCUCUUAAAACAAGCUGCUCAAGUUCACAUCCAGCUGACACCAAAGCAUCGAUCCAGCGCGUUGGAAAGACACAAUGCUCAACCUCGCGUGGGACGGUGACACCGACAUGCACGUCGUGAUGUUCCCCUUCCUUGCCUUCAGCCACAUCAUGUCGUUCAUGCAGCUGGCGUGCAUGUUCUUAGCUACGGCGAAUGUGCCCCGCAUCGAAUUCAUGUCGGGCUCGCAGCCGACACAGUGCUAGUUGUGUCGCUGCUCUUCAGUGUUCGCCGGAGGGUCUCCUUGAGGGCGCCGAGAGCAUGACCAAGGUCUCGCCGGACGGUCAUGAGCUGCUCACGGUGGCCAUCGACGGCACCAGACCACACGUGGUGGCCCAUGGCCAUGCUCAUGGAGCUCUGCCCUGGCAUGUAUCGACCUCCCCUUGAUGUAGACUAGACUAGAUGGCGAGUCGUCGACGGCCUGAUCUUUCACGGUACUAGCAGCAGAAACAAGAAAUUUCGGUCGAGUAAAGAUGCAAGACCGUAAGAUCAGAAACUUAUGUCGAGUAGGUUAGAUCGACUCCACACGCAACAGCAACAAAAUCCCUUCGGAUCAGCAACAAAGAUAUUUGAUGUCCCCCGACAUGGGACAUUUUCUGUAGUUUUAUUGAACUCGCGACUAAAACAAGAAUCUGACCUGAUACAUCGGCCAUAGCCAGCCUUUUAUAUAGGCGUCACACGGCCAAACCGACCGACGAGAGAAACUAAAACGACACGGACUCUAUAUCAACUAAUCUCUGUUAUACGUAUAGGAAUCUCUCUCCUAACCAUACUAAAUAAUGUUUUCCUAAUAAAAUAAUACGGCUACGCUGAUCACGUACAUCUAACCCAACUUAACUAGGACUCUUAGUAAAGUGGAACCCCAGUUGGAAUUUCUCCAGCCAGGUUACAAUUACAUGGUGGUGUUCUGAAGUUUGGCUUGAUGUCUUCCUUCCAUGAUUCAGCUAAGUGAAUUUGAAUACCAACAGAGCCAAUAUAAAGUAUACACGAAGUCUGUGUAGAUGCAUGCGUUGGAGCUUUCAAUUCCUUUGCACUGAUACUAUUGUGUUUCUCCGUUAUCUUGAACAUAUGGCACGACCCGAUAUCUCCAUGGUGUUUCUUUCUUUUCUAGUAGCUAUAACACCAAUGACCACCCCUACUUGUUCCCUAACUUCUACAGCGAGCCGUGCAUGUACGGCUGCUACGUCCUCACUAGGUAGCCUUUUGAGACCAACGACGCCCUCGUAAUCAAUGUGUGUGUCUAGAUGGAAGGCCGCUACAUUAGCAUCAACAUCAGAUCCCAUGACACCAGAGCGCGGGGUGCUUCACGAACCACGCGGCGCUGUGCUUCAUUGUGGAGGGGCUCACUGCCGGGCAACCAGCCGGUGCUUUCUGCAGACUAGUAAGUAUGCACGUGCAAUGCACAUCUCGAUCAAAGCAUCUGUGAAAUUCGUGUGAGUACUGAAUUCUGAGUUCAUAUUUAAAUAAUUAAACCUCCCCAGUGAAAUGAAGCUUACUGUAUACUACUCCCUCCGUAGACAAAUAUAUGAGUGAGUUCUAUUUUCAACAACACAUGAAAAAUAGUAAUAAACCCGUGUAAUAGCAGCAUCUAUGACAACCAUAUAGAGAUUUGAAUAAUAAAAAUGAAUGAUAAAAAGUGCCUGCAUGAAGCAUUACACUGCUAUACGAUAUUGGACCAAAGUAAACAUAUUUGCAAUCCU